CAGUUUUCAGGCGGUGAGCUCCUCUUCCUUGUGGGUCUCGAUGACGAGGUCCGACUGCGGGUAGGCGGCGCAGGUGAGCACCCACCCGGCGGCGACCUGGUCGUCGUCCAGGAAGCUCUGGUCCGACUGGUCCACCUCGCCGGAGACCACCUUGCCGGCGCACGACGAGCAGGAACCAGCCCGGCACGAGUAGGGCAGGUCGAUGCCUUCUUCCUCGGCGUGGUCCAGGAUGUACACGUCGUCGGGGACCUCCAGAUCCACCUCCCCCUCCGGCGUCACCAGCUUCACCUUGUACGUCGCCUGCGCACGAAGCCUCAUGCCCCUCGCCGACGGCGCCGUCAGCGGGAGCACCACACGGGACGAGACGGCCGAGGAAGGUGGAGGGGCGGCUGUGAAGAGGGAGAGGCUGCUCAGCGCGGUGGUCGCCAUUAUUGCAGCUGUGUAAGCUUUCUUGCGAGGAGGAGGAUGGUGUUGGAGAGUGUAUGCAGUAAGCUCUAGCUGGACUGGAGGGGAUGAUGAAGAAGAAGAAGCAGAGGAUGUCCUAGAGGGUGCCACGUGGCCCCUGCAGGUGCUCAGGCUUAUCCUUAAGCUCGGAGCGACCACGGCCACACGAUGAAGGGAUGGACGUCGAUCCACGAGGGCGUGUGGAGGCCAUGCGAUGUAUCCAAUGCGAUUUUGAUCGAUGCACGGCGGCCGUCACAUUUUGGUUUGAGUCAAGCUAGAGAACCUGAUAUGCUGUAAAUUCUUCUAUCUAUAAAUAUUUCGCGACUGGUUUUAGCGAUAGCGAUCAGUCGAUCGAGUGAGUCUAAAUUUCAGUCAGAAAAGAAAAAAAAUCACAAUGAUUUUAGCGAUCAGUCCGUCAUGUGUGACCGGACGAGAAGCCAAGAAGUACACCAGGUUUCACAUUCACAUCAAAAACAGACAAAAAAACUCGAGAUGGAAGCGAUCGUGCCGAGAGUGUGAGCAAAGAUCGCCUUAGUAGACAGUCAGCGGUCUCUCCUCCUCUUGGUCACGCAAAUGGACUUUAAAUUGAGCAGGUCAUGGAAUCCUUCGCUCGGGAACAAUGAACAUGAAAUGCCUUAAAAUUACAAUGCUCCGACCUUCAGUGCAGCUCACCUUUCGUGAGAAGUAAGGCUCCACCAAUCACCGCUGGCGAUGGCACUAGGCAUAUCAUGUCAAGAACAUGUCGAUGAGGCCGGGGAGAAAUGGCAGGACGGACGUCAUGGAGGAGCAGUGGGUGGCGCUAACCCUAGCAACACAAGCUAGGGACAAGGGCAUGUGUAGGCCAUGCGAUGUAUCCUGCGGGGGAGCGAUGGAUGGCCGGCCGGCCAAUGGGGAUGCAUGGUGGCCACCGCAUUUUGGAUCAGUUGAGUGAAGCCACAGAUCUCAUACACUGUUCUGUAAAAAUCUUCUAACCAGAAAUAUUGUUUCGACCGGUGUUAGCGAGAGCGAUCAGUCGACCGAGUGAGUCUAAUUUCAUACAGAGAAUUAUGCAGUUGUUUUUAGCGAGCAAUCAGUCCAUCGUGGCGAUUGGAUGAGAAACAAAGGAGUACAUUGGGCACAAGGUUUGACGUCUAGAUCAGAAACAAUAAAAAAACAUUGAGGUGGAAGCGAUUGGUCUCUCCUCCUCUUAGUUGCACAAGGACUUUAAAUUGAGCAAGCCUUUCAAUGAACAUGAAAUGCCUCGGAAUCACGAUGCUCCUACCUUAAGCGAGAAGCAGCACCAAUCAUUGCUGGCACUGGGUAGAUUGUGUCCAGAACAUGUCCACAAGGCCUAGGAGAAAUGGCAGGCUGGGCAUAAUGGAGGAGUAGUGGCCGGCGCUAACCCUAGCAGCACGUGCAAGGGGAAAGGGUCCGCGGCGGGGAUGCAUGUGGCGUAAGUCGACGGGUCGAGAGAUAUGCGAAGAAAACCUUAAGGAGCACUGAUCAAUCUAGGGAAACCAUGCGGGAUGCCAAUCGAUUCAUAAAAAAAAACGUGUGGUGGGUGCCGAUAGAACUAGGGUAAACCGUGCGGGAGGGUUGCCAAUCAAUCUAGGAAAAAUUGUAGCGGGAAGCAUGCGAGGGGUUCGGAACGAUGUAGAAAAAGCCAUGUUUUUUUUCUGAAAAAAGAAGAGGGGAUAAGCUCAUUGUACCAAGAGAAAAUUGAACUCGCAUCACUAACUCGCAUCACUACUUCGUAGCUAGUAAAAAUACCAUCAUUGCAGAGACACAUCACACACCUGCUGGCUCAACCAUCAAAUCCAUUAAUUUCAGUACGUACAUAAAUACUAGCAGCAGCAGCAGUAAUUUGACCGUAUGGAUCGAUCUCAGGCAGGGGUAGUACAAAAAAGAGGAACACAUAAUAUUACUUGAGCAUUUCAUUCAAGCUCGCUCGCACAGCAGCAACCAAAUCGAUGCACGAUAAGAUCCAUGGAGCUUAGAGAGAUUAUGAUAUCAUCAGACACUCUUGCAAAAGCUGAAGACUAAAAACUUAGGCGGUGAGCUCUUCUUCCUUGUGCGUCUCGAUGACGAGGUCGGACUUGGGGUAUGCGUGGCAGGUGAGCACCCACCCGGCCUCCAUCUGGUCGUCGUCGAGGAAGCUCUGGUCCGACUGGUCCACCUCGCCGGAGAUCACCUUGCCGGCGCACGACGAGCACGACCCGGCCCUGCACGAGUAGGGCAGGUCGAUCCCUUCUUCCUCGAAGUGGUCAAGGAUGUACACGUCGUCGGGGACCUCCAUCUCCACCUCCCCCUCCGGCGUCACCAGCUUCACCUUGUACGUCGCCUGAGCACGGAGCCGGAUGGCCCUCGCCGACGGCGUCAGGGGAAGCGCCACGCGGGAUGGGGCGACGAUUGGGGACGGCGCGGGGGCGGCGGAUGUGAAGAGGGAGAAGGGCGCGCGGAGGCUGCUCAGGGCGGUCGCCAUUGCUGCUGAGAGCUGAGAGCUUGCUUGCUUGCUUGUGUGGUGUGAGGAAGAAGAAGGAGGAUGAGCUAGGGGAUGGAUGAAGAGGGGGGAUAAGUAAGUAAAGGGGGGGGCUGUGUGCCACGUGGCGGGACGUGGGUGGGGGGCUUAUCUUGGAGCGAGGAGCGUCACACGAUGCUCAUCCUCGUCGGCGCCGGGGGGCGUGUGGCUGCCCGGCGACAUCCCGUGAUCUCUCUCGCUUUCUCUUUUUUUUUUGACAAAGAAGGCAGCCUAGUUUCUGCUGGGCCUUUUCCGGCCCAAUUACUAACUAACUACUUCGGUUGCUCGGCUUUCCUUCCAGGCCCGCUAAGCGAAGCCGACGGCAGAUGCAGCCGUGGGCUGGCCGGGGAAUAUGCCGAGUUUUGGGCGGGUUAUUUUUUUUUCCUUUGAUGCGAAUAUGCCUUUUUUUUUUCUUGCAACAAGUCUGAACUUUUAUUUCUACGGACAAGUCUUGUAACUAGUACACGCGGAGAGACUUUUUUGAGUUUUGACGCGAGUUUCUGUUUGACUGACUUGUUCUCUGCGUCCAUUCGAUUUAAUUUAUCGAGACUUUUUCUGUGACAGCUAAAUAUCGAGACUUUGUUGCGGGGUUCUUUUUCGUACCAUUGCUUUCCACGCAUUUAUUAAUUUAUGUGAAUGGAGAAAACGUCUUAAAUCUAUAAUAUCUAUAAAGUUGAUCUUCACUAUUUUUGUUUGCAAGCUUGACAUAUAAGAUGUCUACAUCAUACGCAUGCAUAGUCUCCACAUCACCAUCCACAUCAUGUGUUGUAAAUCACUAGGAAUCCAUUUUGGUGGUCUUUUUGAAUGUCAUAUUUUGAUACUUAGGAUUGUCAACUUAACGUUCUAUAUAAAUAUUUCGCCAAAUACACAUAUUUUCAUGACAUUAUCAAUCUUUUUAAGAUCUGCAAACACACAUAUUUUGAUGUUCAUGUACAUCAAAAUUAUUCCUAUUGUUUUGCUCCAUAGGUGUUAUGAAUGAUAAAAUCAUUUUGUCCUACAAUAUUUAUAUUUCUUUUGCAUUUAACCAUAUUAUUAUCAUGUGUUCCUAACGUCAUAUCCAGAUGUGCAUCUAGAACUUUCCGCGGCAACGCGCGGGGAUCACCUAGUUAUUACUGUUUGCAAUCCAUAUAUAAAGCGAAGAUAUAUAAAGCAAAAAAAAAACAUCACCUAGUUAUUACUGUUUGCGGGGAUCCACACCGUAAUAAUAACCUAAACGAACAUAUAUAACAAUCCAUGUGGGCAGAAAAAAACAUACAUGAGACAUAUAUAAAGCGACGUCAUCAGCUAUCUACUCCAAUUAUCCAACUGUUAAUCUGCUACCUAGAUCGCUUACAUAUGCAGGCCGUUGCAUGUGCCGUGCUAUAUCACGAAGAUCCAAGACAUAAUACGUGAUCUAGACAGACAUGUAGCUGCUCUCUGUCCUUUCUUACUGAUCAAGGAACAUUUAUAAAAUUAAAAUGUUCUCAUCAGUUCCUGCUGAUUGUCUUGAGACAUUAGCAACCGGUUAAUGAUAAAGAAUGGAAAUCAACGGGGGUCGUCAUCAGAUGCAGAAUCUCUUGUAUGCUUAGCUUGUGGAUUACUACUGUAAUAAAUGCGCGUGGCGUAAAGUUUGCACCAAAUCACACAGCGACAAACGGUCAGACAUUGCGUACAUGCAUCCAUGUAUCCCUUCAUUUGACCACAUAAAGCAGUAUUACCUCCGUCCAAUAAUAACGGGGUGUAUUAGCUUUCCUUUGAUCUAUGGUUUGACCACAAAUUAUUCUAAUAAUAUAUAAUUAUAAGGCGUAAGUUGAUAUCCAUUAUAUUUCUAUUCAACGAUAUUUGAUUAUGGUUAUGACUUUGAUCACAUUAGUCACAUAUUAAUAGAGUAAUUUGUGAUCAAAGGCGAAGUACUACAACAGCUAAUACACACUUAUGUUUAAUUAAUUAAAACAGACUUGAUGCUUCCCCUCUACACUUUUCCCCCUGAUUAGUUCCAGCUGCUCCUUCCGAGUAAUUCAAAUACAUCUGCUGUAGUUACCGUUCCUCGCUAUUUGGAUUGAUCGAUUGACUGAUUGAUUAAGGUGUGUGCACGUAAGAAGGUCAAUUAAUUGAUUAACUGACUAAGAUCCGUGUGUUUUGGUCUAGCCAUGCAUGAUUUUCACUUUGCUUGCAAGCAAGCAGAUAGCUAGCUAGGCAGUAUUUCGUGCCUCCCAUGCCAUGCAUCUUGGUUUUCCCAGGCCAAAAAACUGUCUGUCUGUCCGUCUGUCAGGCAGCAAGGGGAAUGGUCGAAUAUUGAACCGGUCAUGCACGGGGUAACUGACGACGCUAGAACACGCAGUAUAUCGUACCACGCACGUCUGCUUCUUCUAUUUUGACAAAAAAUAGCAAAGAUAUUUCUUGUUUUUCCCCUCUUCUCAUUCAUGUUUUCUUGGCAUGCUCUUUCUUUUGGUAUGUGGCAAUAAUGAGCUUAUCCGAGUUAGGAUAAGGUUAGCACAGCCACAAUAUUAAUCAAUACUAUUAGUAUAUCGUCUGGUAGUAAUGUGUUGUUAAGUCAUGAUGGUGGAGAACAACAACACACGCUUUGUUAGUUAGAAUGGCCAGCCAGCUAGCUCAGUUGAAUGCCCUUCAAUCUAUGAUUGAUUUGCGUAUGCAUAUUUCUGUUGAAGCCGUCAUAUAUAUGGCGUGGCAGCUGCAUAUGCAAGAGCUAGUGUCCAACAAACAAGAACCAACCAGACCCAAAGCGUGUCGGCGCCGAUAGCCCGUUCUGCCGUUCCCUUGCGUGGCACGACACGGUAACCAAUCAAAAUCCAUAUCAUUUUUUCCUUUCUCAUAAAAAAUGUCUAGUACAGUCGCAAAAAAAAUAAAUGUUUAGUGCUAUAUACUCCUACUCCUUCCUAAAUAUCAUAAGUUUUUCCUACUAAGUUAUAGUUUUGUCUGUCUUAAAUCAAACUUCUUCAAGUUAUAUAUCUUCAUAGUAUGUCCAUUUAAUAUUGUUGAUCUCAGUAGAUUUUAUUUAACUUAGAACGACACGGACACAAUUUCUUAUACUCGUAGUACUAGUACUAUUUGGGAACGAAGCUGGUACUUAGAGUAUUUUUUUUUCGUGAUUCAAGUAUUUUUAUUGAGUGCCUUAAUGAACUCCAUUUUUCAUUUUCGACUCCGAUGUGGCAUGGGCUUUGCCGCAAGAAAAAAAAACAUCGAAAAAAUGGAAAAAAAGAAAGGAAAAGGAAACGGUAAAGUGUGAAAAGGUUUUAAAAAUGCCAGCGUGGGGUCCACCCAGUUUGAGGUUGACGACGACAAGUAGUUGCAGCAGCAGAGGAGUAUUUCUUUCUCCCUUCCGUGCGCCCAAAUUUCUCCUCUCCCCCCUUCCUUCCUGCUCUCUCUUCUUCGCCAUUCGGGACCUCUUUCUUCUCCAAUCUCGCUACUAACUCCUCUCCGAUCAACCGGUCCAGAGACGGAGGCGCAGCAGACGCACCGAGGUAACACGGAGAUCCAUCCCGCCCAACCAUCUUCUCCUGCCCCCCCUCUCAUGAUUUCUGGUGUUUCUGUUGGUUGUUCUUGUUAUGGGAUUGGAUUCGGUUGGAGCUUGGAAGAACACGCGCGCCGUACAUGCAUUCGGCAACGACAGCGGGGGUUUAUUUCCGAUUUCAAGACCCAAGAACGGAUUUUUGGGACGGAUUUGGGGAUUGGGAUGUUUCUGUCUUCCGUGCCGUCGACUCCCGCCCACCUCUGUUGACUUGGACCUCCGGCCCUUUAAUUUUUUUAUUUUAGGAUUUUUGUUCGGGGGAUUUGUUCUUGUAGUAGUACUAGCUCUUUAUUUUUUUUGGAUCAUUGGGAUUUGGAAGGGACAGCCUGGCCUUCGGGUUGAUCGCCAACGCCCCCGCCUUCGAUUUCACCAACCUUCUUCUUCUUGUUGGUGCGAUUCAAGUUUCAGGCUCCCGAUUUGCUCAGCGUUUCUGACCAUCUGCGCCUCGAUUUGCUAGGUCAAUGCUUGCUCGAUUCCAACCUUCGUGAGCAGUAGUGAUCAAUGGAUGCAUCCCAUUUUCUUUCUCUUUCAAAUUUGUUGACUUGGGAUUUUACUCUAUCUUUUGUUCUCCUGUCGGUUGGUUGGUUUGCUUGUAUUGACCCAGUAAUGGAUGGAUACUAAUGGCGUGCUGCUUGGCUGAACUGGUCAGGCGAAGGCGACCGCCAACCACCCCGGAGGAGAUCUGAGACCCGACCGACCGCCGCCUGCUGGAGGGGGAAGCUGGUGGAGCAGCAGGAAGGGCCGUAUGCUUGUCGCAGGCCAUGUGCCCGGACAUGAAUCCGCGCCAUACAGCAAGGUAGUCUAGUGUUUGAUUCCAGGAAUAUCGCCAUACUGUGUUAUGAAUUUUGUGUCCCAAUUCAUAGUCAUAGGUUCCAUGGGAUGCUCAGGAAGGGCUCUGUAUCAAUGAAAUUUCCUGUAUCAAUAAGCCAAUUGUAGUCUCGGACACCUGGUAUAUGCAGAACCAGAAACUUGCUUAGCCUUUAAUUCAUUAGUGUCGUCUGUUAAACAAUGGAAUGGAAGUUCCUUUAGUUUUCUGGUUUCUGGUCUUGCACGCCUGAAACGUCGGUCAACUCUUCGACACUAACCUGAUGCUGUGUUUGGGUAAACCUGAAUGAAGAUAUUUUGUUUAUUUCUCCGGUCACCUAACCCUGUGGAUAUUUGAUUUUGGACAACCUGGUUUGGUAGAGAAGUGCCCUUGAGGCAAGGGAACUUCCUCAUCAGAUAUUUGUGUCUUUGACUGUGUCUGUGUUUUCUAAAUCCCAUUCUGACCCGGUCUUCUUUUCGUACUGGCAGUCAAGUUGAAUCAGAGGUUCUAGACGGUAAUCGUAACCAUCACAGCCAGCUUGAUGCUGAUCAUCUUGUACAAAUUGGGAGGAGUCCUAUCAAGCGUGGUAGCAACAAUCUGUCCACAGACGACAAUUUCUCCUCGAGUGCCUCUUUGCAUAAACAUGAACAUGUGAGCUCCGAUCCAUCGGCCCCUAAGGCCGAUGACCGCUCAAUUAAGUCUGGUGAUGAUUCUGAUGGGGCUGAGAGUACCAAUGGCAAAAGCAACAAUACGGACUCCCCAGGUACUGAAAAUGAUAGCAUCUGGAUACCACCUGAAGCUGCAGACAAGGGAGAUGAGACCGAGAGUAACAUUGCUUAUGAUGACGACGAUGACGAUUAUGGUGAUGGAAUCAAGUGGGGCCAGUCAAGUUUCCCAGCCGCUGGUGAGGAACACGAGGCCAGCCCCAAUCCUAAGGAUGAGCGAGAAAAUGCAAUGUUGGAAGCUAUGAAUGGACAACUCAAGAUACUCGUGAGUCGGUUUUUGGCCUCUGCUGGUAUCCCCUUUGGAAAAGGAGAGAGUAGUGAGAGUUGGCUCGAUAUUGUGACCUCCCUGUCGUGGGAAGCUGCACUACUUAUCAAACCUGAUUCUACCAUCGGAAAGGAAAUGGACCCUGGCUCUUAUAUCAAGGUCAAAUGUGUAGCAUCUGGUACUCGCUGGCAAAGGUGACACAUUUGUUCACUUAAAGGUUUUUUAAAAUAUAAUGUAUUCUAUCUGCGUGUUUGGUUAUACACGUUCACUUCAUAACCUUGACUGCAGUGAGGUGAUCAAGGGAUUAGUCUUCAAGAAGAACACUGCUCAUAAGCACAUGCCGACCAGUUGUCACAAUCCUAGGCUGCUACUACUGGAAGGAGUCCUGGGGCACUCUGAUGUUGGUUUAUCAUCGUUUAAUUCAAUGAAUCAGGUUGGUCCUUUCAUAUACAUAUGCACAUUGAAUUGUUUAUAGUAAACGCCGUUUAUUUUUGUUGGAUAGAAGAUUAAGACAUCUGUUCCGUGCCUUUAACAAUUAGGAAAAGGACCAUCUGGAGAGGACUAUAAGUAAGGUGAUUGAUAUAUGCAGUCCCAAUGUUAUCAUGGUUGAGAAAACUGUUUCACGAGACAUACAAGAACUUCUAUUAAGACAAGGGUGUACACUAAUUCUUGAUAUGAAGCUCAGCCGGUUGCAAAGAAUUGCACGCUGUACGGGUUCUCCUAUAAUAUCAUUUCCAGAAGUUCUGGAUAAACCGAAGCUGAAGCAGUGUGACUACUUCCAUAUUGAAAAAUUCAUUGAAGAACACAACGAUGCCAGUGAAGGUGGGAAAAGACUGUCUAAAACAUUAAUGUUCUUGGAAGGAUUUCCCAGGCCAUUGGGUUGCACGGUAUGUCUACCUAACUAGUAUUACAUGUAUGAUGCAUUUUAUACAUUUUCAGUUCCAUUCUUAUUUUUUCCCUAAGAUUGUUUAUUUUCCUCCAAAAGCAAAAUAAAUAAACUAUGCCACGGAGUAUUUUUCCUAUGUCUUUUCUUCCCUGAAAUCUCCCCAACCAAAGCAUCCCUUUGUAUGGAAGUGAAAUCCAUAACCAGAAGUUGUUCCAGCUUACUGUGGACAUGUCUAUUACUUCGACCAGUUAUUACUUCUUAAUAGCUGGCUUGUAGACUGUAAUUAAACAUCUUCUCUAUUCGAGUGGUGUGUGGCCAUAAAAUUUUACGGUUUGACUAAUAAGGCAGAGAACCAAGGUGAUUACAACUUGGCAGGAGCUAGAUACACUUAUGGUGCUUUAAAGUAACAAACCUGGUUUUGUUUGUGGUGAGAUCCAUAGUAGUGGUAUGUGCUUUUAUCAAUUAUUACGAUGAGUGAAUACCAAUUGAUAGUGAUAUAUUCCUGCAUAUUAGUUACAUUCCACUGAACAAAUAGUAAGUGACAGACCAAAUUGUGUUUCAUGGAUUGUUAAAUUAUCUGAGUGACAAUGGUUCCUUUCUCAUCCAGAUACUGCUCCGUGGAGCAAAUACUGAAGAAUUGAAGAAAGUCAAGCAAGUCAUGCACUACACAGUCUUUGCAGCAUACCACUUGAUCCUCGAAACGUCUUUCUUUGAAGAUCAGCGGGUAUUCUUAAAUGAUAAAAAUGUUUCCAAAGAAAAUUAUGUCACCGCUAUGGUAGGGCCUUCAGCAAUUGGUGAUGAUACGGCUGUUCUGGGUUGUGCCAUCCCUCCUUCACAUGAUGAUUCUCCAGCACUUAAAUUAUACCAUGCCACUUCUAAUAUCUAUGCGGAUGGGAAGAAAUCUCUCAGUUAUACAAAUGUAGAUGCUCCAGUUUCAAUAACAAACAGCUCUUUGGAUGAACUUGGAGAAGGUGCAAAUGUCCGGCAUAGCUCAACAUCACCCCUUCACACUGGAAGGCUACCACCACCAGUAUCAGGACCAUUAAGAAAAUUUGCUGACAAGUUACAUCGUCAUAAUAUUUAUUUACCUGUCACAUCAUUCCAAGAAACAACUGAUAAUAAAAUAGAAGGCAGGGUUGAAUCUAGGAAAGAGAUGGUUAGUAAUGGAUUUCAUGUUGGGUCAAAGGUGGAAGAGUCUGCAGCUUCCAGUGAAAUUUUGGAUGACACGAAAGAUCUCUUAAAACAAGAAAGGAUCCAAGAAGUAAUGCCAUCAGGUUCUUCUGGGCAUGGCAAACAUGAGGAAUCAUCCGCUAUGGCUGAAGAUGGGGAACAUCACAGCACCAGUAUCAUCAGCAAUGGGAACAUUUCUAACGAAGAUCAAGCCGAUGAUGCACUUGAUUCUGACAGUAUACUGAUUUUGAUGUCUAGCCAAUGCAUCACAAAGCAGAUUAUAUGUCUCCCGAGCCAACUGUGCCGUAUAAAAUACUACGGGAACUUUGAUUUGUCCUUGGGGCGAUAUUUGCAAGACAUUUUGCAGAAUCAGGUAACAACAGUUUACCACUUCUUCGUUUGUUCACACAUUGUUCUUAUUUACACUGAAUAUUAUAUUUUUGUGCUAGUAAUGUACAUUUUAUUUCGGCUCCAUUGAUACUCUUUUUUGCGAUGUUAUUUGGCUCACUAAUAUUUAUUCGUACUAGAAAGCAAGCUGCUCAUCUUGUCAAGAGCCUCCAGAGGCUCACAUAUAUUCUUACACUCAUCAAAAUGGGAAUUUGACUGUUCAAUCAAAGAAUUUGGUGUCCCAACAUCGCUUACCUGGCGAAUCCGAAGGAAAAAUAUGGAUGUGGACUAGAUGCUUGAGAUGUGAACAUGAACAUGGGACAUCUAAAUCGACUCCUAGAGUGUUAAUAUCAUCUGAAGCGCGCAAUCUCUCUUUUGGGAAAUUCCUGGAACUCAGUUUUUCAAGUCACUCCGCAGCGAGAAGGCUAUCCAUAUGUGGGCAUUUGGUGAACAGGGACUGCUUGCGUUUUUUUGGGUACGCUCGAUGUACUUUUCACAUCAAACAAAAUUAUUUUUUGGCUGCCUUUAGAUGUAACUAUUUCUUUAAUGAUAAUUUCUUUUUCUUACUGACUUCAGGUUGGGCUCCAAAGUUGCAAUGUUCCGCUACUCCUCAGUAGAAAUUUACACUACCUGCAAACCACCACCCACCCUCCACUUCGACAACCCUAGCAGACAGAAUUGGUUUGAAAAAGAGAGGAUACAUGUAUGUCUUAAUACUCUCUACCAUUACCAUCUCAUAGUUGUCUCCAGUACAUGCAUAGUAAUACUUUUUUUUUUGCACUUUCAAAGAUUCUUGCUAGAGGUAUGAAACUUUUUUCUGAGGUAGCAACCUUGCUACAACUCUUGAAGAAUCAGCAUCAUGAUGUGACAGCAACCAGUUGUGGCACAUUUGACCCUGUUAAGGACUUCUCUGAACUCGAAGAGUUGUUGAUGAAAGAAAAGGCCGAUUUUGAGGUAGGCAUCCUUGUCUUAAUUUCUUUUAGACUGGAACUUUGUAUGCCAAUGAAUUUGUUAUGUUUAAUUUAUAUUUAUGGGUUACUAUCUUUAUUUUUAUGCAGGAUUCAUUAGUAAAGACAAUCAACCAAAAUGGGAGAUCAUCCUCAUCUGUGCAUGAGCUUCUUAAUAUAAAUUGGUCUUACCAGGAUGUUCUACUUGAACUUUAUGUAUGGGACCGUCGGCUCGACGAACUUUCUAUGUGUAAAUCUGCUGGGCAAGGGAGUGUUGGUAAUAGCAAUAAUCCUAGCGGAACUGCAGACAAGAUUUCUGGGGCCAACUACGAGAUUGACAAGAAAAUUGGUGAACUGACGUGUGAUAGAACUAUGACAGCUGUGAGGUCAGAUGGUACCACUGAUUGCACUGAUUGCACAAGUAACAAUAUUCCCAUUGACCAUCAAUCUGGUGAGACCGCAGCACACUUGCUUGAUGAUAGUCAGGGAGCUGGCAACUCUGAACCUUCUUGCAGUGAAGGUAGUAAAGAUGAAGGAUCUCGAUCUCUCAUUGCUCCUGAUCAAGUAGAGGUAGAGAGCACGCCACAAAACCAAAAAGUACCUUCACUUGAAGUUUCAAGUCAUACAGAGGUCCAGGGUAACGGGGUAGUUGCACAUCCAGUUUCCAAGGAACAAGAGCCUUCAAGCACUCUCCAGAAGUUCAGAAGUACUGAUUGGGAUGACAGUGAUAGAUGGAUUUGGAGUUCAUUUUGUGAGUCUCAACUGGCUUACAGGAAGGACAUUCAAAUGGGAUGUUUGGAGAAAUUUUAUCUUGUUAACCAUUACUCCCCAUCUCACCUCUCCCCCUUGUUUGAAAAACAUGAGGAGGUGGACACUCCUCAGUUCACAGUUGGCCCCGGUGGUAAUAUUUUAUGUGUAUUGGAGCAUGAGGUAUCUAGUAUAAUAGCUCGUGCUCUCGCCAUAUCUGAGGAACGUAGGCAGGAUACCAUAGUCGAGAACGAGACGGGGGAGGGCAGGGUGGAGCAUGGUAAAACGAUGGAGAAAUCCUAUAGCUUUUUCUCUGAAGGUUCUUUUAGCUCGUCACCAUGGUCAUCUAUUGGAUCAUUAGAUUCUGAAGCAAGCUUUUCAUCUUCUAUUUCGUCAUAUCCAUCUGACGACCUCUCUGGUUAUGAUACCUUGCCUUUAUUGUCCUUGGUACACCCAGAAAUCACUGUGAACGGAAAAGUAACUCUCAGAGGCAAAUAUUCGGUUACUAGUAUAUAUUCGAACCAAUUCUACCUUCUUCGAAAGAAGUGCUGCCCAUCUGAGCUUGCAUAUAUUACUUCCUUAAGCCGCUGUAAGAAGUGGGACGCUCAAGGUGGAAAGAGUAAGGCUUUAUUUGCAAAGACAUUGGAUGACAGGUUCAUCAUAAAGCAAAUCAAGAAAACAGAGUUUGAGUCCUUCAUAACAUUUGCCCCUGAUUACUUCAAGCAUGCUUACCAUUCUCUAGACACUGGCAGCCAAACUUGCCUUGCCAAAAUAUUAGGAAUCUAUCAGGUAGGUUUUUUUGACAACUGAUUUCUAUUCGAUUUAUUUCCUGACUUCUAUUGGGUUUUCAUAUGACUUGUUGUUUCAGGUCAAGCAAAUAAGGCAUGGCAAAGAGAUCAAAAUGGAUCUGAUGGUGAUGGAAAAUCUCAUGUUUGGGCACAAUAUUUCACGAAUUUAUGACCUUAAAGGUGCUAUUUUUUCACGACACAUCGCCAAAUCAAAUGACCCUGACACUGUUUACUUGGAUCAAAACUAUGUUGAGGACAUGCGUGUAUCUCCGAUCUAUAUUGGUGGAAGAACGAAGCAUCUUUUGCAGCGUGCAAUCUGGAAUGACACAUCAUUCCUCACUGUAUGUAUAAUGCAUAUCCUAUAUCUGCAGAUAAUCAUGUUUUCAAAUAAAUAUAUGUCCUAACAAAAUUAUUGUACUUGCAGUCAGUUAACGUUAUGGACUAUUCUCUGCUUGUGGGAGUGGACAAAGAAAAGAAUGAACUUGUGUUUGGCAUCAUUGAUUAUUUGAGGCAAUAUACUUGGGACAAACAGCUGGAGACAUGGGUCAAGAGUUCUUUGGUUCGAAAAAAUGUUUCACCGACUGUAAUUUCACCCAAGGAUUACAAGAAAAGGUUUAGAAAGUUCAUGGCCAAGUACUUCCUCACAGUUCCGGAUACUUGGAGUCCCGAGAAUUCUUCUGGGCCAUACAAAUCCUUUGGCCAUAGCAAUAGCAAGUUGGUAGAAGCCGAUAAUGAUGACAACCUGCUUCAGCAUCCAAUUGAAGCUGAGGCAUGUGUCUAGUUCUGUUCAGGCUGGCAUGUGUCUAGGCUAUUCAGGACUCCUCUGACAGUGCUGUUGAAGCCUAUCCAGUCGUCGUCGUUGUUGUUUCUUUGGCUUGUUUUCGCUUUGUAAAAUUGUGUACAUAUGAGGGCCUCACAAUUGACCUUUCCAGAAGUUUGCACCUUUUAGGCAGAUUACUGGGCAAGUGAGGCCCACAGUACAUGUACCUAUACAAAUGUAAAUUGUUGAUUUCACAAUUAUUAUAGUGAAAUUUACAAAAUUGGUAUGAUUUUUUUGGGAUCUACUAGGCUGAAGCCUUUUCUACUUGCUUAAUUAUUUCUUAUAAUGCCUGACACGGCUAACCGUCCAUGUUGGACUUCUGAUCUCUGUUCAAAUUUGAUCAGUUUGAUCCGUAUUUGACUUUCAUUACUCCGCUAUAGUUACAUUCAUGGAAAUGGCCAAUUUAAUGCCUCUUGAUCUUACUGCACACCUUAUGAAGAACAUUUUGUUGUCAGAUGGACAUUGUCUAUUUUGUUGUGUGCACCCAGUCACUACAAUUUUGCAGAUCUGCUGGUAUGAUAUGUACUGCUUACUUUCUUUCAUCAAUCAGUUCCACGUAUUAUUUAAAAUGAGUGAAAUCAAGUUAAACUUGUUUGUUCCAAGUUUGUUCCUUGAAUUUUGUUGUAAUAUGUGUUUAUGCCCCAAUCUCUCUUAUGAUAUCAAGAAACAGAAUAUAAUUUGAUUCCUGUUUGUUUUCAGGAAAUAACUCACUGGGGAGGACACCACUCUUUAUAAGUCCUGCAUCACAUAGUAGCUGCCUGGUGACAUGCCUCAUCUAUGCAGUUGGUCUAUGACUCUAUGUUCUAUACUUUAUUGCUAUAUAACACUUGAUAUUUUAUAUUCUCAGCUUUGACGAGGCAAAUUGUUAGUAGAUCCUAAAAUUAACUAUUUAUUUAAUUUACACAGUACACACUUUGCUGAUAAGGGAUGCUCCAAAGUAAUGCUCCAGUUCCUUUUCUAGAACCACUGGUUAUUUAAAUUGGUGCAUUUUCAGGAGAAUUAUCUAGCAUCCUGUAAUGCAAUUUCUGAUUGAUCAGAUAAUUGAUGGAAAGAACUUUCUGUGUAUUCACUUAGCAGUCUGGCUGAUACUUAACAUCUACUAGUGUGUGCAAUCCAUAGUCUGGACCAUGAACAUCGGCAGGAAGGGAUUCCUGCAAAUGAACAUGUGAGACCUCGGUGAGUUAGUUCAUUUUAAGCUUUCUUAUUUUCUACCCUUGCAAAACUUUGUUGACUAAUCCACAUAACCCUUUGUUGAACUUUAUAGUGCGUAGCACAUUUUUCUGCAGCUAUAAUCUUAUCAUACUAUCUUAUAAAAAUUCCUGAUGAAUGUUAAACAUGUGUUUUUAUCAUUUGGCUGCAUUGGUGGAAUGGUAGAUAGUAACAGUAUACAUUUCCAAGAAAUGUGGUAUUUGAAUAUAGUCCCAUUGAUCUUCCCAAAGAGUUGCAGUGUGUGCGUGCUUCUUUCCGAGAGUCCUAUAUUUGCAUUUAUUUUUCACUGAUUGUUUCAGUGAGUAUGAAACUAUGAAUUCAUAUGCAGUGUCGCUUGUGAAGUUGGCUUUGCAGCAUUUAUCUCAAGACAUUCCUUUUUCCCUGUCAUUUUAUUACUAACGCCGUCCAAACAUAACGAGCACAAUGCAAAACCACCUUCGCCCACUUUUCCAAUUGGAGUUGCUAUUUGUGUCUUAAUACAAUUCUUUUUUUGCUUCCAAAAUGGCACAUAUACUGUUGUUAUAUAUGUGUGUGUUCAUGCUAAACUUUCUAGCUCAUGCCUUGUGAUCAGGAGAUUAUGUGUUGUCACAAUGUGCUUGAGAGACAUUCUUGGGCAUGUCGUGCCACUUGCAUCUUUGUUUUCAUGACUGAUGAAUACACUGGGUUACGUGACAGAUGAACUCAUGUUAGUUUUUCGAGCAGAGUCUACCUCUUGCUCAUUUGCGAGCAGUACUGAUUUGAAUAAAUGAUAGUACAGUACCUCAGAAGUCAGAGCACUGCUUGGAACAGGCGGUAAUUUGCUUCAACUGUAAUCUACACAUAUAGUCACAUCCGCUGAAUCUUACAUAGUUAACUUUUAAACAUGAAUAUAAGAAAUUGUUGACACUUCCUUCCCUAUAGUAGCAAGAGGCAGUAGUCUGCUAUUGUACCAAUCAUCAGUCAAGGAGGUAAUCCACAAGAAUGGGGUUGGCAUGCAUCUCUUUUCUCCUUUUCACUUUUGCAGGAGGGCAUCAAAUACAUUGGCAGUAAGAGUAUGACCAGAGGGAGGACUUUUAGAUCAUUGCAGAGUGGCUCAUCAUGAUUGCGUGGAUUCUAUGCAAGUCUUGUCAUUGAGAGGGAGGUUACAAAAGGAUUGUCUGGAGAAGGUGAUAAUCUGUGUAAUGAUGCUGAUCCUAACAUCACUGAUUCAUAUAGAUUGGCACACCAUAUUUUUUUUGAAAGAGAGAGAUUGGCUCACUAUAUUUUGAAUUCUGGAUUUAGGAUUGUAAUAAGGAAUGAGUUUUCUCUCGUACAUCUUUGAGAUUUCAUUAAUCAUUUUUUUUUGCAGUGCUACUCUCAGUCUGUUUGAAGUUCCCAUUAACUGCCGAUUUUGAACAGUAAGCAUUCAUCCUAGGUGCUAAUUUUAUUACACUGCACUGCAAACUCUUUCAAUAGCUCUUUCAAUAGCUGAAUGCUUUGUAGGAAUAAUGUCGCAUUAGAUUUUUCUCAUUUCAUUUUUGAAUUUUUUUUGUUUAGUAGCUAAUGAUGAAUUGAUCAAAUCUGAAGAGAGAACUGUGGCAUGGCACUGAUGUUUUCUUGGUUGCAGAUCCUGCUUUAGCAAAAAGCAGUUGGUGUCGCCAUUUCAGUAUAAGGGAUUCGAUUUGGUCGAUUUAUGCUCAGCUUUUUCCUGGUACUGGCAGAAGCUGCCUGAACCCCAAAGUAUGGAGCAUGGAUUAUGCUGCUGCUUACCAUCAUUUCUCUACUGUAUAACCCUGUAAAGCAGCUCAAAUCAAUCAAUUUUGCAUUGCAGCAGUUGAGGGCAUUCUCCUUUUUCCUGGAACCGAUGCCUUCGAGUUCAAGGUGAUCAUCAUGUCCCAAUUCCAGAAGGCGAUCUCAUGAUUCUACAACCAAAACGAUGACUGCUGUCGGAGAUCAUAUGGAGAAUCAUGUCAGGUAACUCGUUUUUUUUUUCAAAGCCACACUAAGGUGUGUAUUGUCCCUAAUUCCUUGCCUUGUCAUCUUCUCUAUUUGUAGUAAAAUAAUCAAUCUUUACUCUGCCAGUCGCCAUGGCAACUAGUGGAGUGAUCAAUGAUAAGGAAGGUGAUUAGCCUACCACCAAAGAACAAAAAGAAGACGCAAAAGAUGACAAGCACAAGAGUUCAUUUUAACACCCCUAGUUGCACCCUUUUUGUCUCUGUCCAACAAGCUGCCCACAUCUCCACAGCACUUUUCCAGUUACAGAAAAGGGCAAAGAGUCGCUUCCCUUUUCCAAUGCAGAUUCUUCCUUUCACUAUCAACCAUUAUAUCAUUCAUCCAUGGAAGAAACUCCGCCUAGAUCAAUGCAUUAAAAAUUACUACACAUAUUCUGAUUCUGAUGCUCAUAAUAGGUAGGCCUAAGCACAAACUGCCUGCCAUCACCAUUGCUGCUUAAAGAAGACACGAUGCAAAGAUGAUAGACACACACACUAGCUGGCUAGCUGCUAUGGUAGCUAGAGAGAGUAGCUAGAUUACCCAAUCACAAAAGCAAAAAACACCUACAUUUUUCUUAAAAUUGUUAGCCUAGUUGUACUAUCUACCAUGCCCUGUUUGUUUCUGCUAAUAGCUGCUGCAAACUCCGAUCAGCUUCAGCGAUGGCUGCACAGGUCAGACAGCAUCUUCCUGCCUUCCACAAUCUCAUCAAAGAAGUCAUCCAGUUCGCCGACGACACUCUCCGCACCUGACUGCAGCACCCCAACCCAGCCUUUGAUGAUCUCCACCCUCUCGGCGAUCUCACCGGGGUCGGCAUACCCUGUGGCGAUGACCCUGUCGAACUCUGCCUUGAGGCUCUCGAUGCCGGCCCUGGCCUGCCGGAACUCGUACAUCAUGACGCCAGAGCCAGAGUGCUGCCCGGCUACUGCCUCCAUCUCCUCGGCGACGCGCUGGCGCAGGCGCCCCAUGGAGGAGACGUAGCCAGCACCCGUGGCACGGAACAUGGGCGCACAGCCAAGGUCCGGGAGGCAGGAGACCGUCCCAGAGAUGAGGAUCAUGAGGAGGAAGGAGCUGGCGUUGCGCAGCGCGUAGAGCACGCCCCGGAAACCGUUGAAGGCGUUGAGCUUGAACUCCACGGGCGACCGGUCGUCGAGCAGCAGCGACGCUGGGUCGAUCCUAGCCUCCGCAAGCGCCCGGUUCUCCUGCUCCAGCCCAACAGCCUGCCGCCUUGGCGCGUUGAUCGCACGCAUCACCUGCCAGCCAGUAGGUGUCAAUGAUGUGAUCAGAAUCAGAUAUAUUCAGAUCAAUAGAGGCAGGGGGGGAUCGUCGAUCGGACUGUACCUGACGGGCUGUGUGUGGGUUGGGGCUGCAGAGCCAGUCGUCGAAGGCGGCAUCGAUGCGGGUGGCGGAAGCGCAGUAGGUGUCCAGCGCGGUGGCGCCGGCCUUGACGACCUGGCAGGCCUCCCAUAGCCGGGAGGUCUCGUCCAUGUACUCGUCCAGCCAGCUCUCACCGGGCGGCAGGUGGAGCCGCUGCACCAGGUGGACGAGCUGCGAAUGCAGGGACCGGAGCAGCGCCGCUGCCUGUUGGAGGAACGGCGCCGACACGAACGCGCCCUCCGGCGACGAUGACGAGGCGGCCAGCGUGCCGUGGAGUUCGUCCAGGCCGUGCGCGAUGGAGGAGUAGAAUCCGUUCAUGGCGACUCUAUUUGUUGUAUAACUGGGAGCAGCAGAGCAGAGCAAAGAUCGAGAUGAGAAGAGAGUGUGGUGCAUGGGAGUGGAGGCUCUGCGCUGAGCUGGAACAGAGACUCUCGGUCAGCUUAUAUAGAGGAAGACUAGAAGACUGGACUUAGAGUGAGGGCAGUGAGUUGUACUAUGGGGAAGCAAUGAUGGUUUGUCCGGCGGUCAGGGGGAAGGAUGAUUGGGGACUGGGCUGGGCAGCCAUUGCCAGGACUCCUGUAUGUGCUCCUCCUCUUCAUGACCAUUCUAAUGGCAUUGCCAAUGCUUGAGAGCUAGUCCUACUAGCAUGCAAUGGAAUGCAUGGGAAAAUGUACUUACUCAGCCUAGCUAGCUGCCACAGCCAUUUUAAUUUCCCCAUGAAUAUCCCACCAGUUAAUUUCCCCAUGAAUAUCCCCCCACUCCAGUACUCCUACUCCAAUUCUUGUCUUGAGUUGCAUACUGCUGGUCCAGAUUCAAGGGUAGGGACCAUUUGCCAUUGACAGUGUACUACUGGCGAUUGAUUAUGAAGUUGUUGGUGCUAAUCAAGGACUCACUAGUGCUACUACUACUUGAGCAGACAGCUGUCAUCUGCUGCUGCUGCUGCUUUCCAUAUUCUGAAUCCGGGUGGGAGGGAGGAAAAAGGAGGGGGGCCAAUGUGCCGGGCCUCUGCUGGGAGCACCAUCAAUAAGCAGCAAGGAAGCAAAGAGAAGCAAGCGCUGGCUGCACUGCACUCCCCUGUCUGGCCUUCCCAAUGCACUCAGCCACCUGUUAGUCCAGAAAGGAAACAUUUUUCCUGGAUACAUGAACUCUAUGGAGUAUAUUGACCAUUGCAGCCACUGUGGGUACUUCUUUGCAACAACAUAUAUAUAUAUAUAUAUAUAUAUAUAUAUAUAUAUAUAUAUAUAUAUAUAUAUAUAUAAUAUAUAUAGUAUGGCAGCUAGCUGCAAGCAAAUGUGUUUGUUUUCUUGUUCUUUUUUCUUUUGUGCAGGCCUGAAGAGGAGCUAGCUUCUUCUUCUUCGAGAUGCAUGGGAUGCGUUGCUGCAUGAGCCAAUAGGAGCAGAGGAGUAUGAGGACAAAGUUUCAAAGGUGGCAGGGAGUCCUAGAGAUGUGUCGACAAGGUGAGCUGUACUCUACUGCUUACUUGCCCGUGGAUUAGUGGGGCACUUAAUUUAAUUUGCUUGAAUUGAUGUUAGGAGGAAUGAUGGGUUUCCUUGUACCCGUACAAAUCUCUCAGUCCGCGGCCAACACAACCCCCAUGCUUCCAUGCAAUGCAAUGCCAAUGCAAUGGCUUGGCCGCCUUUUGAGGUCCUUCUCCCUCUCGCCCGGGCCUCCAGUCCGGCAAUCAUGCCCAAUAUAUGCUCUCGUGCCCCCUUCUUCUUCCUCUCCAUUAUGACUACUCCGUUUCUCUAGGGCACACGUCGGGCCCCGCAUGUCGGUCAAGCCCUUGAGAAACUCAUGACAGUCUUAAUUCCAACACACAACUUCUACAAAAAAAAAAUGUUUCUAUUGUGAUGAUACUGUGUAAAUUAAGAAGACUACAAAUUAGUCUGGAUUGACAACAUUUCUAACAUAGUCUAUGUUGCUUGUAAAACAUGCAUGCUUGUAGUAUACUAGUACUGCAUAUAUGCGGUGGCUUCAUUAUAGUAUUAGGAUUGUCUUUUUGGUCCAAUCCAAUUCAAACACCACAGCUUCAUCGGUGCAUGCAAUCCAUCUCGUGGCAAGUGCUAAACCCUUUUAAGAAAUGGAGCUCGUGGGGUUUUGGGAGGAGGCGAGGGGGAUGUGGAUUUGGUUGGGGAAAUCAAAGGGGAUGUGUGUUGUUUCCUUUGCCCUAACCAAGAACAAAGAUUAAUUAAGCUAAAUCUUACUCCAUGAUCCAUGCAUCAGCUAGGAGCUACCUUUGAAAUACUACUACUACUUGGCCAGCCGUGCCGUACAUGCUGCGUGGUUGACCGGUGGGGGUCCAAGCACCACUCAUCGGCCGGCCAUGAAUAUUCUUCUUGUCCUCUUCCUGCUCUCUCUCUCCAGUCCUAUAAUCCAUGCAUUCAUCUCACUAUGUAUAUAUAGGCUCAUUGCAAAUUAAACAGAUCAUAAAAAGCAAAGAUCAUCUGUUUUUUUUAUUUAGAUCAAGACGGUUCGACUCCCAUAAUUGAAUUAGAUGAAAAGACCAUCUGCUAAACGUUUGCCAAACAGAAGAACAUACAGUUCAUAUGCAAAACACUUUUAUUGUCGGAAAAAGCACAUUUUUUUGGUGUGUGUUCUAUCUAAUCAACUCUCUGUGUCUUAUGUGUUAUAUACUAUCUAAGUAAACUGUUUCCUGCAAAUUUUUCCGUGGCGCGGUCUCUAUUCCGCAUCCGCAAUAUAUCCUCUCAAUUUCUUCACAUAUAAAUUUCCAUGAAUUAAUUUGGUUUUCAUAGCAACGAGAUCCAAAAGGGCAUUAAUUAUCUGCCUGCCUGCCACAGUAAUUUUACUUCUUGGAUAUACACACAUAUAUAGUACACUUACUAUUGGCGACCUUGUCCUGGACGCAUAACUCCAUUGUUUGCUCGAACUUGUAAAACAGGUGGUCACGGAUAUAUCUACGUGGCACACGUAUGCAUGUCUAGUCCAAAUUAGCAUAUGGGUUGGCGGCAACAGCAUGCAUACAUGAAAGCAGCAACGGCUAGCUUUUAAUUUAGCAUGUCUGGUCAGUCACACACACACACACACACACACACACACACUAAUUUUCUCUCUUCUUUUUUCAAAAUUUGUACAGACAUUAUUAUGAAAAUUAGCAGUACUACACUGCCAGUACAGAGUACUACUGCUACUGCUAGGUCUCAUGAUCAAAGUUGCUAGCUUAGCUAGGUGUGCUGUAGAGCUGUAGGAGUGUAGUAGUAGCUUGCAAUGGUGUGGCUGCUGGCUUGACCAGAACUUUGAAAAAUGCAUGCAAUGCAUCUAUGCUUGGACAGCAGCAGUCUACUACUACAAGUACUUAUCACUCUACAUACAGUACACAGAACAGAGAUCAAAGUUGCUGCUGCUGUUGUUCUUCUGAAGCAGCAGCCAUGCAUGCAUAAGGCUGACAGACGGUGGUGUUCUGUAUUAUAGCGUAGCUGGUUCUCGUUUGAUUACUGCUGUCAAGAGAACCCCGUGCGAUGCUACGGAACAACGGAAAGUGUAUCAAGCACGAGCCGGUGGAGGCGAAGUCUGGACAUUGAUCAACCGGCGCUCCCCUUUGAGUUGAGAUCUGCAGGCGCCUCCUCAGCCUCGUCAACGACGGUGUGGUUCUCGCUUCCCAGCAGGGGUGGAGAUCUCCAGCGGGCUUCUGCUUCCCUGUCUCCGUCACGCCUUGUAUCCUCGAUGGGGGUCUCUGGGUCGGUGGUCAGGGGCCGGACGAAAUCCCUGCCCGGCUGCGUCCGGUGCCAACGACGGCGACGCCUACGGGCGCCUUUACCUCCUUGGAGGCGUGGUCGUGGCCCCUGACCAUUCCUUCUCCAUCCUCGGGCUCCAGGGGAAACCCUUGGUUCGGUUUGCCAUGGCUCCGAAUCAGGCAGCAGCAGCGACACCUUGGCAUCGUAUCCUCCUUGGAGGCACUGCUUUGGUAGCCCGUGGGAGUUCGAGUGUCGUGGCAUGAGAUGGCAGCCUCUCUAUUCUUGGCGGCGAGGCUUGGUGGUAGCGCGAAGCCGGUGUUGAUCCUCUGCUCUGGGCGUUGGACUUCAAGGCGCGAUGUUCGUCACUAUCGGUUCCCUAGAUGAUGCAUCCUUCCCAAUUCAGUCUGGUCCAUUCCUCUACUUGCCGACCGGGGCUUGAUCUGCUUCCAGAUUGGCCUCCCUUCUUAGGCGUAUUGUUGGGGGUUGGCCAGGGUGGUCUUGGUGUCAUGGUCGCAGAUUUGGGUGUCCUGCAGCUAUCGUGAAGCGGCCUUCAAGGUCUUGUGCUCUGCCUUCUUUGCCCUAGGGCUGGAGGUGGGCAAGGCGAGUCUCAUGUCAUUGUGGUUUGAAGCUUGGUGGUGUCUCUUUAACCUGCUCUGACCCCAAGUUGGCUCAAGAUCUGUUGGCUGUAGGUCUAGGCUAGCUAGGGCUCCGUCUUAGGUCGUCCGGAGAGGACGGUCAUGUUUUUUCUUGCUUGGCCUCGCCGUUGGCGGGUGCGGUGCAUAUGUUGUAAAUCUUGUAACUUUUGGUUACUCACGCUUCUUUGCGCUUUCUUCUUAAUGAAAAUGACAUGCUUCCAGGCGUGUUCGAGAAAAAAAAAUUAGAGUCUGUUUUGAGGAACAAAUUGGCAGUUAAAUGCUUGAAGUUCAGUUCAGUUUGCUGCUGGAAUAAAGAAGAAACAACAAUUUUGAAUUGCGAUGAGAUCUAUCGAAGAACACAGCUAGCUCAUAUAUAAUGCUCUCCAUGGAAUUUGGGGUGAAAAAGGGAAGGAAAGAAGAGGAAAGCUGAAAAGAGGCAACUAAAGGAGAUGCUAGUCAAGUGUUCUCCAAAUUUUGUGUUGAAUGGCGGCUAUAUUCAUGAGUAGCAGCAAGUAGCCUAACUAGUCAAGUGUCCUUGCUGUGAUGAAUUGAAGCAGGCAGGGCAGAGCAGAGCUGUGUGUCCUCCUAGAAGCUAUAGCUAGACCUGAAGAAAGUGCAUAUCCUCCUCUAUCACUUUUCUCACCGCCAAGUUGUAAAGGGGAGAAAGACAUGCAUGGAAACUGCAAAGUUGCCUCGCUUUUACAAACCAUUGCCUUUUUGCAGGAUCUGAUCUCUAUUUCCUUUCCUGUUACCUCUCCAUGCAGCUGCUAUGCUGCUAUAGUAGCGUAUGAUCUUGGCCAUCCAUGCAUUUCUCCGUCUUGUAGCUCGGCUCGGCUGCCUAAUUGCUGGCUAUGUUGGUUGCUUUCUGGAGACAGAGAGGGAGAAUAUGCUCCAUGUUGUCCAAAAGGGAAACGCAAAAUCAAUUGCAUCCACGGUGGUUCGUUUCUUUCCUUCUCCACACUGUCUUUCUGUCUUCUUUUCUUUCUCUCUUACGUUUGUAUUUCUGAAUGAAUUGGUUGUGGUUUUACAUGUAUGUUGAUUUUUGUUUUAAAGCGUUUGCACCAACAUAUAAUACAGGCAGUUUUUUUUACAGUGCAAGAAAAGGAGAAGGACAGAAAUGAAGGGAAGCUGUAUAACUUUAACACAGCUGCUAUACAACUAUACAAGAGAAGAAGCAGAGACUCUGACAUUGAACUUGAUCAUGGGCCAUUUGGAAUAUGCUCUGACAUGGAGGUGGUAAACAAGCUCAAUCGGUUUAUCAAAAACCAGCAAGGUACAAGCAAGGGUCCAGACACUGAAGAACUGAACAAAAAGCAAGAUAAACCAGGCGAGAGAACCGCCCAGCAAAGUUGCAGACGCUAAACUAUCAGAACAACUACAAGAGUCACAAAACAUCACGAUAAGAAACAGAAAGGCUCAUUUGUGUACUAAGAUGAUAUAACUUUGCAAUAAAAUUGGCUGUGCGCAUCGUUUCAUCGUUUCGAUGCAGAGGCCGGGAAGAACCCCUUUUCGAAAAAAAACGGUUCGUCCUUUUCCAAUGAGCGUUCUCUAGCAUGAAUUCGAAUGUAAUUCGUGCACGUAAAUGAGUGGAAAAAAGAAUGCUGUUGCAAGGGGUUGGAUCAUACUGUCUAGGAGAUCUUAUCUAAUGACAUACAAACAGGAGGCGCUCGUGGCCUAAUGGAUAAGGCAUUUGACUUCUAAUCAAAGGAUUGUGGGUUCGAGUCCCACCGAGCGUGUUCUUUUUUCUUAAAUUUUUUUCAUUCAUUAUGCUUCCCAUUGAAACUUAUUUUCUUCAGCGCAUGCUAUUCAUAAGUCGUCUAAAAAGGAAUUUUUUUUUGUGCCAAAUUUUAGCAGUAAUCUUGUUGUAGCAUCGGCAACCCCAAUCAUGAAAAUAUAAAUUCAUAGAAGUGCCAGCAUAAGAUAAGAUGCUAUUAAUUUGUCCAGCAACUGAACACAGACGCUAGAAAAAUUCAGAUCAGGAUUCCAAGAACAAUAAACUGGGUGCAGCGACCAGCAUUAAAGCUUAAAGCAAUAGGGAUUGUAAUCCAGGGGUCAUCAAACAUAGUAGCAUUGUCACUGACACCAAAAAGAAUGUAUAUAUGCUGGAGCCUUUCUCUAUGCCAAAAUGCUGUUUAUUAAUUGUCUCUAUGAUUGUCAACAGCUAGGGACUAUGCAUUGUAUUGCUUCCUAGAUCUUCUCUUGCUUUUCGCCUACGAGGGGGAGCAUCUCCAUCCGGCUUCUCGGGGUCCGCGGGCUCAGGGUGGCGCCUUGCUGGGAGAUGAGAUGCCUCACGUAGCCGUAGAAGGUGCAGCCGACGAGCGUGAUCCCGCACCCGACCGCGUUCAUGGCGGAGAUCGGGUUCCGGAAGAUCAUCCAGGAGAUAAGCACCGCAGCAGCUACCUACACAGACCCAUCAUGGUACCAUCAGUUUCCCAAUGCUGAACUUUGUUUGUUGGACUGAAGAAGCAGAGUGAAGAGGAAUGGGGAUAUCAGUGCUCUCACCUUGAGGUUGCCGGCCACGUUGAAGGUCACGGCGGUCGUCGAAUGGAUGACGUAGAAGAUGGAGAAGUUGAGGCAGAAGGCGAGAAUUCCUGAGGUGAUUAUGAUGAUCAGUGCAGGGACAGUUGACUCGUAUGUGUAUAGCCAGUUGAUCACGCCGCCCCCUUCGAGUACAAUCGCUGGUACUGACAGUAUCAUGGUGGCAAAGGGUGCCAUGUAGUACACCGUGUUAAUGCUGCAGAGAGAAAAAAGGAACAGAAAACACAGGUAACCAAGAGGAAAAAUAUGCAAUAUCGUAAUUGAUCGUGUAGGUACUAUGAAAAUAUGAAGAAAUUCUACAUAGCAUGAUGACAACAGAAGCGCUAUUACAUUAUCCAUGAAUAACUCUGUUAAGAACUAUUGUGAAUUAUCAGAUGACAAGAACUACUUCCCCUUUUAUUUUUACUUUUUCUUGUUGUGAAGCUCAAACAGAUGCUAUAAGAUCAUUUCCUCUGUAAACUGACUGGAUCACUGUUUACCUGUCAAAUUUGUAUCCAUGGAGUAGGGAUUCUGCCAAGAUGGUCUUUGUAGACGUGGCGAGGCAGCCAACCAUGGCGGCACAAAAACCAAACAUGUUGAAGCUAAGCUCAGUUACUGAAGUCAAGAGGAUUCCCCCCACAAUAGGAACCAAUGAAGCCCAUAUGCGCCACUCAAAGUAUUUCCUCCAGACCAACCACUGCAGGAUAACUGUUCUACAACGAAUCAGAAAAUGACGCAACAGCAAGUGCGAAAAAGGCGUCGUCCUCGAAGAUGAACAAAUCAGAGAACCUGUCGUUGCAGGAGUGAAGGAUUUGAUAGUCUGCAUGAAGGAGACUGGGAUGUACCGCAGGCUGACAUUUCCCAGCACGAUGUUUAUGCAGAACACAAAUGACAUGGGGAAUAUCCUUUUCCAGCGAUCCUCGGGGGCAACCUCGAUCAGCGGUUUUAUCUUGAGCAUUUUGAUUGCGAUGUAAGCUCCGAUGGAAGAGCAUAUGAAGUGGACGCACGACACGGUCAGAGGAAAUUUGAACUCCAGUUUCUGCAUCCCAAGAAAAAAAAAAUCAAGUUCAUGCUUUUCUGCUGAGGAGGCUGCAAUAGUGCCACUGCCAUGAACUAAUUGUCAGUUUAAACUUGAAAGCAAAAAAAUGUUCAUUCCAAGAGAAAGAUGGUGGCAGAAGCCCAUGAGAAACAUCAGUCAUAUCGACUCUUCUACAUGUCAUUUGCGAUUAAGUAUGUUCUCAAAUAUUAUGGUACUAGUCCACAAAAACAUAUUAGCACAUAAUCAAUGUUAACUCCGAAGUCUGAACCUUGGGACAUUUUUCAGCUCACUAACGAAAUGGCUCCCAUCUCCAAUCCAUUUUGCGGAUUGUAAUCUACAUUAAAACCAAUAAUUACCAUCCCAAAUAUUUCCAAUCCUUCAUGUUUCUGAUUCUUCUUCCCACAAAUAUCUUCGUCUUAACUCCAAACCUAAUCCUUUUGUGGAGAAACCUAAUUCCAACAAUUUACAGCCAUGAAAAAGGACAAUCCCUUCAUAUUCCUAACAACAUGAUAAAUCAAAAGCCAGCUAAUCUGCUCCCCUGAUUGCGCAGAUCAACCCAUAAACAUGAACAAAUCCUCCGGAAGACGAGGAAAUCGAGAAUAUAUAUUGAAAGAAAAGUUGUAAGCAGAAUGGGACGGAGGGAGAAGAGCGGCCGCGAGACGGACCUGGAAGAUCCAUUUGUUCAUGAUGAUGACGGUGACGUUGAAGCACCACCAUUGGAGGAUGGCCAGCACCGCCCUCACCGUCGCCACGUUCCCCAUCUUCCCUUCCUCCAUAUGCAGCGCACAAAAACAACAAAGAUCCCCUGGAUUCAAUUCCAAUCCCACUAAAAAAGAAACGCCUUUAAUUUCUUCCAGCCGGAGUCCAGGAGAGAAGAAAAAGGCAGAAAGAGACAGAUGCUGGAACGGCUGGCGUAUUUAUGUGUAAUUAAUCAGUGGAAAACUCCUCUUGAUGAUCCAUUUGUGGAAGGCAGCAGGCUGGCUUCUAGAAGACCAUGGUGGUUCUUCUAGAAGGUUCCAGAAGCCGUCAAGGCGUCAGGAGAAGAGGAGGAGGAGGAGCUAGAGGGGUUUCGCUUUCGGUCGUAGGAUUUGCAGGUUGUGGUUUUUAGGUUGAGAGUUCGAUUGGUGUGAUUCUUGCCUCUCAUAAUACGUGUUGCCACUCUUCUUCUUCUUCUUCUUCUUCUUCCUCCUUCUUCUUCUUCUUCUUCUUCUCUUCUUGUAUACGUCAGCCUAGCCAGCUCAGGCUUGGACACGUGUCACGUGGGACCGUCUCAGCCGAGCUUGGACACGUGUCAUUUAAAAACUGUUUAAUGGGUCGACAUAUGGGCCUCUCUAUGAGACUCCCCUGGGACCUCCAACCAAUCCCUGCAUCUGCACAGAACACACCAUUCUUCUGAUGAAAUCAACAGCAUUUCAAGCUCAGCUCACCCGUAGAAAAGCCAGCUUGCAGCAGCCUUCUUCCCCUUCACCACCAACAAUUAUUUUACAUUCCCAAUCACAAAUCGAUAACAGAAAGCACAAACAAGUAGCUAGUCAAACAUUGUUCUAAAAUAUAUGUUCUUCAUCAUCAUAGAUCAGAGGGAUAAAAACAACAGGUGAUGAAGCACAAAACGUUGUAAACAAAACAGCAUCAUUCGUUGCUUACAGCAAACACCGAAUUAACCUCCCUUCUCCACACAGAAAGGGAAACAUCAAAUGGAGUAAUAACGUUCCAUGCAGAAACAGCCAACAUAAACAGUCUUCAACAGGUAAGACUUGUCCCUGUAAAUGUCAACUGCACAACUGACUGGUUGAUUCAACCAGUCAUGUCAGGGUACUGUAUAUGGCCCCUUCAAAGAGGGGGCCGCCAAAAGGAUCAUCCUUUUUCUUCUUUGAAUGUAAGCUUGGCCAAGCAAAAUGUUGCGGAAGAUAUUCUGCUUAUUACGUCUCUUUGCCACCAACUAGCUAAGAAUCCGACUGACUGGCAUGCUUCAUGUUCUUAUGUCUCUUCAGGACAGACAACUCGUACUUUUGCAUCCCUUCCCUCGCCCUCCGUAGACUGCACGACGGGCAAUACCACUGGCCUUUCGGGAUGCAGGUGCGCUUCGGCGUCAUGCAGUAUAUGUGAUAAGCUUCGUCACAGCCGUCGCACAAGGCGAUAUCUUUGUCAUCCUUAUUCUUGAAGCAGCAUCUGCAGAGACAGGACGGGCAGUACCAGCAUCCGAGGUUUUUCUGCUUCUCAGACGCGAUCUGGCUUUCUCUGAGGCAUCGGAUGUGAUAGAAUUUGUAAGAGCAGUAAGGAUGACCACAUACCAAGAAUCGCCUGUCGUCGUCUUCGCAUGUGCCGCAGUGUUUGCACAGCUUUGCAAGGGCAGUUGUGCACAGGUCUGGCUCGUUGUCUUCCACCACGCAUGGCACGGAGCUCCCCUCUCUUUCAUCAGCUAACUCCAUUCCACUACCAAUUUCAGGCGGUUCUAUUUUCUCAAGGACUUCAAGCCUGGCACACAGAGGACAACCAACAUGCAAACUGUUCUUGUGAACAUUUUUCAUGAUGUCUGCAGCUGACCCCUUCCCCUUAUUGCUGCAGGCCGGGCAGUGCCAGGUUGCUGGGAUCUGUUUCAUAGCAGGAUGGAGUCGCUUGACACAGUCAAAGUGGUACGUGCUGUCACAUCCAUCACAGAUAAGUCUUUUUUCUUCUUCUGCACCGUCUCCACAUUGCUUGCAAGUGCAAAUUCGACGAAGUCCACCUGUCUCGGUUCGCUUUGGAAUUGUAGAAUGACCAGAAUCACAUGGGGAGAACUGCACGGUGGUAGUCGAACCCUUUGGGAUUUUGUGGACGACACCAACCAAGCUUGUUUCCUGGUGAAGAAUGCAAUUAGUAAAAGGUGUUAAUAGAGUGCAACAACAACAAAAAAUGACCAGCAGACUGUCUCCAAACACACCAAUUACCUCUAUCCGGCGCUCAGCAGCAUCCUCUGCUUCAGAAACUCCAGAAGUCUAUAAAGAAUAUAUCGUAAGCAAUGUGCAGUACCAGCAUAAAAGCCAACAAGUUAAAGACUCCACAAUAGCUUGAAGCAUGGUCGUGGAGAAAAUAACUACAAAUUUACCUGCUUCUGAUAAGAAGCUCGUGAAAUGAUUGGAAGAUUGCUUGCUAGACAUGUCAUCUCCCGGCCAACUCGUUCAAACUUCUCCCAUGUCUACAUCAGAAACAAAUAUCCAUACAGAUACAUGAAUAUGAUGACACUUUACUCAGAAUAUUGUUUGCCUGAAUGUUAUGCAACUUCAGGUGAAACAACAAUAGCAAGCAAGCAGUUUCAUUGAGCACUGCUCCUAUACUAGCUACAACAUGGAAUGUGCUACUUAGAAAACAUGAUUCAUCCUCCCUUGGGAGUCUCCUGGUUGGAUGAUUCAAACUGUUUGGAAGGCCAAGGCAGCUAAUGUGCAAUCAAAUGGUGCAAACAUAGGAACUAGUUUCAGAACAACAGUGUAUAAAGGGCUUUCUCUACUCUGCCAAGUAAAGUGAAGUUUAUGUAUCUAUACUAGAUAAAGCUCAAGAAUAAACAAGAAAGCAGUUAUUUUUUCCGAUGAUUGAGUAAAAUGGAGAUAAAGCUACCUGCUGGAUAUCUUUGUUGAACAACGCCGGAUUCUGUGCAUAACUUCCGUUUCUCAUGUUGGCGUCAAUUCUCCCCAAAUCAAUGACCUCAUGAACAUUAUUCACAUGGAAAGUUUCAACUAGCAGAUCACACAGCAGGGCAAAUUUCUCAGAGACUAAAAUGUCAAGGAGAGCACUGUUGCACAUUGCUGUGUUGGCAUCCAAAGAUGCUGCAGUUGCAUCUUUUAACGCAACAAAGGAACAAAUCUCUUUCGCAUCCGCCAGCCCAGUAGGAUGCUCAUCUGACGAAUCUUGGGCCUUCCCAAGGUCACCCUGGUAAUCACAGAAGUUCACCGUCAGUUUCAUAUCACAGUAUAACAAGGUUGCUCUUUUUAUUAAAUAGAUAUGAGAAAAGCAAAGAAGAUGAUGACUGACUUGUUGUUCAGAUUGGCAGCGGUUGUAUCUGAGAGCGUCACAGAUGCAGCUGUGAAUCCCACCGCCCUUAUUUAUACCUGGGGCUUGCAGGUAGCCCUCCAAUGUGUUCUUCCAAGUAAUCCAAUGCCUGGCCAGCAUUGGGUGCCCAUCUUGGCGAGAAUUGCCACCGUACAGCAUCAUGGCGGCACUAGACUGCACGGAAAUAAAGCAACCAAGCACAUUGGACACGGUUCGGUUAUGUAUUACAGUAUAAAAUAGGCAUCUCAGGAGUCAGGAGACAGAAUUCCUAGGAACAAGUAGCAGGAGCCGAGAUUCAGAGCAAUUCGAAAGAACAGAGUGAGCAAAUCUAGCCGCGUGAAAUGAAAUCUUGGCUGGAGUGCUUAUGGCACCAGGAAGCCAGAGAUGUCCCAGUUGCAACAGCGGAACACGGCGGCGGGCGGGCGGGGGGAAGAAAGAAUGGAAGACGGGGAGAGCAGGGGUUAGAUGCGAAAGCUUGGCUCACCUGUCCGGGGUCGGAGCUGGCGCCGCCGUCGGCGCGGGAGGCGGCGCGGCGGCGCUUGCGCGUGUAAGUGAGGACGCCGCCGCCGCUGCUUCCGCCGGGGGUCUCCGGGGCGCGGCGCUUGGGCGGGACCGGCGGCCGGCUGGCGCCGUCCUGGGAGGCGGACAUCUUGGCUCCCGUCCGGCGAGGCUACAGCAUGUGUUUUCCCCGGCGAAGAGCGGGGCCUAGACUGGGAACUCAGCGGGAGCGCAGCCGCGGCGGGGAGGACGGCCGAGGGGGCUGGUUUCUAGGGUUUGCGGAGGGGCGGUUUGCUGGGGAAGGAUUUGGGGAUUUGUGUGGGGAGCGAGGAGCGGGAGGAAGGAAGAAGAAGAGAUUUUGCGAAACGGAAACGGGGAAAGAAACGGAAACGCGGACGGACAGGCUGUGUGUGUGCUCGCCGUCACGGCUGCCUGCUUUCAACUCUCUCUCUUCCGUCUCCACCAAUUCAAAGUGCUCACGAAAUUGGCAGCGGACGUUCGUUUGGUAUGCUUAGGGGGCGACAUCCCCGGUGAGGAGAUAUACGGUGGAGGAUGAGGCGUUGGGUCGGUAGGCUUAGGGGUCCACGUCUCCGGUGAGGUUUGGUAGGAGGAGAUAUACGGCGGAGGGUUGGGUCGGCAUGCUUAGGGGGUGACAUCUUCGGCGUUGUUGGGGUAGUAGGAGGAGAAGGAAAGGGGGAAGGGGGAGGACGGCUGAUCGUGGUGACGGUGAGGUUGUAUGUAUAGGUGGCCAACUAAGCGGAAGGAUUCGAUUUUCGUUGGUGAGGAAAUGUCUUCCCGUGGCUGUGUAAGGAAGGAGAGGCCGUGUCAAUAGGAAAUGAGCGAGAAGAGGGGCAGGAGGAAGGAGAGGCGGCUGCAAGAGGGGAGGAGCGACGAGAGGCAGACAGGGAGAAAACCCUAAUAAGGCAACAGCUGUAGGGCUAAAUGGGCUAUAGUCCAUAGUUGGGUUGUGCUUUCGCUCUCUUCUUUUUUUCCUCAUGUUCCCCGUUGUUAUCCCAGGCCUUAAUCGCUCUCUUAUUUUUUUUUCCUUGUUGGCCCGUUCGGGCAGCCCAAGCACUGUAUACGCGAGUUGGGCACCGGGUGGAAACAAAAUGUCAUCCACUGCCCAAUGCCUUCCCAAACCUUAUAGGUCACUACGUAUUCAACACAAGUAAAGAACUUCGUACCAAACAUUCAUUUGGUAAUGCUUACGGACGAUCUCUUCUAGGAGGAUAUGUGCGGGACAGGAGAUGUCGAAGAGAAGGUAAGAUGGGAAGACAAAGGACCGCUGCCCUUGACAACGCGUUUGUACGUGUCAAACAGUAUUGAAACAAGUAGAUAACUUUGCACCAAACUCUUAGCUCGGUAAUGCUUAGAUGGCGAUGUCUUUUGUGCCGCUUCGGUAGGAGGAAAUGUGUGUAGAAGAGAAACCGAGGAGGAAGAAAAUAAGGGGAAGGAACGCAUGCAGCUGACCUUAACAAUGGCGAAGUCGAACGAAUCACUUGGUGUGGCCACAAGACGACGGCGUGGUCGAAUGGAGUGGCUGAUCCAAGCGGGCGGUGCCCCCACUUGACCACGGGACAACGCCGAUGGCUUGCGGGACGACGACGAUGUUAGAUCUAAGAAACGGUGUGGCGGCGGAUCUGAGAAGAAAGAGGCGGAGGGGAAAAGAGGGUUUGGGAGACUAACCAUACGUGGCUAUAAAUACAAUCGAUGAUGUCCUGGGAAAACAUGAGGCGCAAUUGCGGAGGCAAAUAAAUGUACUACAUAAAUGAGCCAAUUUUGUGAGGAAAUUUCUCUCUUUCAUAUCAGAAAGUCUGUAUGUACGACGAUUUCGUGUGAUCUACUCGCCGAUCCAUAAUAAAUGAGCGACACUUCUUAUGGAUCUGAGGGAGUACUAAAUUUCCUCAAGCCCAAGCCCAAGCCCAGAUGGCAAUGCUAGUAGUUUGUCUUUCAUAUAGCUUUGCUAGGCCAUCUGUAUACACGCUGAAAAAAAAAAUUGCAGGCCAUGCCAGCCAGCCUCACAAAGUCAGGUGACUUAAGUCAGAGAAUACUGGCUGGUGUCAGAUGGUAGCUAAUUCCAGUUAAAUGUUGUCAAUUUUCAAAGCAGAAGCAUGAAACUACAAAAAAUAGUGGCAAUACAGAUAUGCGUAUAGAAUAUUGAUUUGCUAUCUUUCUUUCUUUUUGCAAGGAAAGUGCCAUUCCCUUGCCUGAGGAUACUAUAUUUACCACUGCCGCGUCGUUUCUCCCCUCGGCGGCAGUGAGACAUCAUAUCAGAAGGCGCUGGAGACUACAUAGCCUGCCAACGAAGAACAUCACACAGCAUGAUCCAGCAACGGGCCGCUCGCUUUGCCUCUAAAUGAGGUUGUCAUCCCUUCGCCAAGCCUUUUACCUGAACAUGGUGUGCUCAUCCCGUUAGAUGAAGACCUCAAUCAAAUUGUGAACUGGACAGAUAAGAUGUUGGAUGAUGCAAGAUAUGACAAUUUUGAUGUGAAAAGGAAAGACCAAAUACUGGCAAGAUCUCUAUACGUGAUAUCAUAAUAGUCAAUAGAAGAUCAGCAUGAGUGGAAUCACAUAAGUAAUGUCAUAAAACUUAUCAUCAGGGCUUACUCUCUAUCAAGUCAAAAAAGGAAAAUUUGCAGUGGCUGGUAUAGUUUAAAACAUGGUGAAAAGGAAAAAUUGCAGCAGCGAGGUGCUAUGUAUUAGAGCUCUUUUACGGUACCCCGGAAUUAAUAUUGGCCAUCCAUUCACCCCAAUCUAAUGGCUAUUGUUAUCGGGUACUCCACCGAUGGUUCUCUGGAGUACUACCUCGAAAAGGCACGGAGUACCUUGUUACAAGGGGUAAAAUAGUAAUCAGAGACUUUCUUAUUUCUCAUUAGGGGCAAUCUCUGAGUUUUUCCUCGCAAUCAACAUGAAAACAUUCCCCGUGUGAAAAAAUUAUAACCCGAUGAACCCUAAUUCUAAACAGGUGAGACCAUCAUCCAUAGAUUCAAUCGUAGGUCUAAAAUAAAUCAAUGGUAGAGAUGUAUAAUUGAUCCAAGAAUCCACUAGGAGGCUGCACAAUUGAUCAAUCCAUACGUGCUGUCGCUGCUGUGAUCCAAGAAUCCACGAGGAGUCUGCACAAUUGAUUGAUCCAUACAUGUUGUCCUUGCUGUGAACAGCGCCAUCAGAAUCCCGGACAGCGCUGUGCAGCCUGUAGCGGGUGAGCGGCGCGUGCGAUCAAGAAUAAAAGUGAACCAUCGACGGCGGGCAGAUCUGGCGGCUAGACAGCGGCGUGACCGACGGGGGCUUGAUCGUUCGUCGCCUCGUCGGUGGCCAGACGCGAGGGCAGGGCCGCUCGAUCAGCACUGUUCAGUCAAAACAGCCCUUACAAAAUGUCCAAAUUACCCUCAUGUUUGGACGGCCAGAUUUAUUUGGUACUCCAAUCCAUGCCAAAGAGUACCAGGGUACCGUAAAAAAGCUCAUGUAUUAUUGGUAGCUGGCUUCAACAAGUCAUGACAACUUGAAAUUUAAAUACAGUGAAAACAUGUGGAACUUUGUCAGGAUCAGAAGACUUAUUCUUAACACCGUUCAUCAUGUUGAGAGCACAGGGUUUGCAUAAACAAAGCAAAAACGCGUAAACCUCAGCAACCUAACAACUAAGAACUCACUUGCUAUUAGUUUUAAUUUGGUAUGGUUUCGUAUAUGUUGGAAUGUUUGAUUUUGUUGGAAUUUCCAAAGUGAACUAAAUGACGUAAACAACAAGCCAGGCAACUGGAAUCUGCAAUCGACAAUGGCAGUAGAAAAGUGUAGUGAUAUAUGUAUGUACCUGGGAGAAGAUGAGCAGCCGGAACUGUUAUGGGUCACAGAGAACACAUUGGAGAGAGACUUUGUGAGGUAUGCAAAGUUUGGUAUCGGCGGCAACGCGGGCACACGCUCCCCUUUCCUCAGCAGCUCCUCCAAGUCGAGCCUUUGCAAAGUGAGUACAGACUUGUUGUCUCUCCAAACAAAGGCGAGCCGGCCAUCCUGGAGAGCAAAGAGUGACCCGGGCUUUGAGCCAGGGUACCUGAACCCAUACCCCGCUGCAAUGCCCUCCCCGGCAAAGCUUCUCGCAAUGUCCACACGGCGGGAAUCCUCGUCGGACUGCCAUGGAAAUGCCUCUGUCGAUGGCUCGCCCAUCCGCGCGAUAAACAUGGCCGACCCAUUGGGAUGCACGACAUAGUGUGUGCCCUCCAACACCUUGGUUGCGAUCAGCAUAAGCUUCCUCUCGCUGUCUUCCUCGUAGGAGAGGAGCAGGAAGAAGAGGGCCUUCCGUGGUUUGCGGUCAUCCUCCGGCCGCCCCGGUGGCCACCCGAAUGUGCCUCCCCACAGUCCGGCAUACUCCCGGCCGGGCACCGGCGCCUGUGUCGCCAGCUUGUAGAGCGCGAACCGGUUGCCAUGCAUGCUUGGCCACGCUCGGUAGGUCGACAGCCGCAGCUGGGCGCCCCGGAGGCUCAGGCCAACGCUCUUGCCGGCGCGCAAGAACUCGUCCAAUGCCAGAUGCUUGCUGCCUCCGAACUCUACCGUUGAAUUGGCCGACGCAGAGCGCGUCACCAUCUGCAGCAGCCCUUUCCUGACGAACCCGGCCAUCGCAGACAGGCUCCUCCGAAGGGGAACCUUAUCACCUGCAGCAUCGCCGUUCGUCGUCGGCGGCAUCUUCUUGGCUGCUUCCAGCAGCAGAGCCUCGAGCUCUGCCCGGCUCACCAUGCCGCCGCCGGACGACGACGAAUCCUUGUGCAGACGCAGCAUCGCCUCCCGGCGCGCGGCGAGCAAGGGGAGGUCCUCAUCGGAGCGCGCGAAGAGCGGCGCCGCGGCGAGGUCCGGCGGGAGCUUGACGCGGCAGGAGGCGACGAGCGCAUCGAGCAGGCCGCAGCGGUUACCGAAGGAGAGGCGGGAGAAGCUGGAGGAGGAAGAAGAGGGAGAAGGCGCGAGGGCCUCGAGGAGGAGGGCGUUGGUGUUGGGGUGGAGGGAGGAGAGGCGGCCGGGGAAGAGGGAUCCGGCGCCGUGGAGGAAGAGGAGCGCGGGGCGGCCAUGGGCGUCGGCGAGGAGCUCGAAGACGGGCGCCCAGCGGAGGCGCGGGGAGAGCUCCUGCGGGAUGGCGCGGAUGGCGACGAGGGAGAGGAACCCCGGGAGCGCCGCCACCAGGUUGCCCAGCUCCGGGUUCUGCUGCGCCCAGAGACCGCGGAGCGGGGCCGCGGAGUGGAGGAAGCGGCAGACGGUAAGAGAGGAGCCCCCGGCGGCGGCGCGCCAUGAGAGGAGGUGCGACGGCGGGGAAGAAGAAGGGAGCAGGCGGCGGCACUGCGCCAGCCAGGGCUUGUCGGCAGCGGAGAGGGCCGCGUGGAGGCGGCGGUCGGCGGCGGAGAGCGCCAGGAGGUCCCGCGGGCGGAGGUGGGCGGAGAUCAGGGCCAGCACGUCGUCCGGGAGCGCCAGGAUCAGCUCGCCCCCGGCCAUGGAGAUCGGGGUUGGGUGGGCCGUCUGCUUCCUUUCGCCUUUUUCUUUUCUUUUCUCAACCUCAAAAAAGUUCCAAGCUUUAUAAUCCUGCGAGAAGAAGACUGUGAAGAGUGACAAGCUCAGCCUGGUCUUUUUCCUCGGACGAUGAAGAAAUAUCUCUUUUUUUUUGCAUUUCGCUCUCGUGCUAUUCUCGCUGGCCACCUUGCUAAAAUAUCUCGAACCACUGUCUACACCAUUUUAUUACGCUUAUCGGUCUAUUUAUCUGCAGUUUCCUCCACAUUGCUCGACAUUGAUAAAUCACCUUCUCUAGUCACCUUCAUGCACCACAAGCUUCAGUGGAUUUACCAAUAAUUUCUUAACCCGAGUCUCUUUCGGACCCAAAAGGUGGACACACAAACUACGUGAUCAACAAGAAUGAUGUGAUACGAGGCAACAAGCAAGGAUCCGCGUCCGUUCAUGGGUUCGGAGUGUCAAAACUCAGCUCUAUGUUUCGUAGGAUUUUUACAGAAUUUCAAUCCUAGGAGUUUUUUUCUACAUGUAGCAUGGUUUCAGAACGAACAUGUUAGAUUUCUAAGAACUGUAUCCAAAUUGGCAUAAUUCAUAAGGAUUCUAAACAUCAGGUACGAGCUCAUUUAAAAUUAUUAAAGAAUAAAUAUGCAUGACAUUUCAAUCAUCUAUUUUCAUAUUCAUAUGAUUUCAAAAUCCUAUGAACCGAAUAAGCCCUAGGAUUACGACGUUGUCAAGGGUCAAGAAUGUAAAAAAGAAAAGUGUUAUAGAAGGGAAAAAAACGUCACCGUCAAAAAGAAUGAAUUAGUUUUGAUUUGGUCACAAGGUCUAGAAGAAGAAGAUGCUGCUUCUUGGUGGAUGUCAUGUCGACGUCAAGAUCACCUAUUGGCACAUUUCGUCCAGUCGUCGUUUGUAGUUUAUGUCCAGCGAAUUUGAGACCCGGUCAAACAGUGAACUCAUCAUCCUCGACGACUUUGACCAGGGUGGGUCCUUUGGGCCUUAAAAGACUCUCCUCGCUUUGGGCCCAUUAUAUUAGACAAGACCCCUUAUACAAAACAAGAGAGAGGCCAAGCCCAUGAGCAGAAGAACGCAACGGGCUGUGGGCCGGAAGCAGUAUCACCGUGGCAUCGAGAGCAGAUUACUUUUUAUUCGCUCAAACUAACAAUGAAACCUGCCCUAAAAAAAAACUAACAAUGAAUGAUCCCUAAAAAAAAAUUACCACUUGAAUGACAGGUCGUCCUCUACAAUUAUGGUUGUUUACAUGGCCUAAAUCAGCCAACUUUGUCUGACCACUCUGCUCUACGGUCGAAUCUAAGCUAGUAACUUAAUGGGCUUGUUUGGUCCUAAUCAUGGAAGAUGAUGAUUGGUCUAUGACAUAGAUACAGACUGGGACAGGGGCGCCAGACUCGUGCCUAAUCCUUCUUGUUUCAUCCAAGAAAAGUCUUAAGCCGUAUACACUGCCAGCCGGUACGCAUCGCAAUCUCAGGAUGACGCUCAAAUUGUCAAACCAGUUUGUCCUAAGAUGAGUUUUUUGUUUUGUUCAACGUAUAGCUGUAAUGGUCUGAUGGCAAAGAAUCUAACUGAAUGUAUAGCUGCAUGGUCUGAUGACAAAAGAGUACGCAUCUCAGAAAAAUGCGGGCAAGAACACAAGCAAAACCAAAGAUUAAUACGAUAACACACUGUACGAAAUUAACACUGGAUAGAGAUCGAAAAAUAACAAUCAAGAAAUACGUAAAUGUAACCCUGCAAAAGAAACAUAAAUGUACUGCAUAAUUACAGUACACAAUAAUACUUGUUGCAGCAAAACUCUGAUGAUCAUCAUCAUUUCUGAUUGUGAAGACGUCCUUUCAAUGAAAUUCAAUCAAGAAACCAAUUGCUUCAUUGCUCAUGAUAGCUACGAGUAGCUAGUAACGGCAUGAAAUCGAGAUCAUCUUAAUCUGUUUUGCAGCUGAUUGCAUGCUCCUCAUUUCUUGGCGGCGGCAUUGCUGGAGGAGGAAGAAGCUGAAGCAGAGGAGGUCCUCUGUUCGUCGACCUUGUGCACCACCUUGCUCCUGCCUCUGUGCGCCACCAACAUCUUCCUCAGCGCGCGCAUCAUCGCCACCAGCCCCGGCGCCCUUCUCCGGGACGAGCCGCUCCUCCUCGCCGCCGCGACCUGCAGCACCGCCACCUCGCGCUCCUCCUUCGCUGCCCGCCGCCGGCGGGAAAUGUCGAAGGACAGGUCGUCGUCGGCCAAGUCCUCCCUGCCGUCGUCGUUGAGGUCCUCCCACAGGCUGUCCAUCAUCUCCUCUUCUUCGUCCUCGGCUCCGGCGGGGGAGCAGAAAUUGGCGCGCCAUGGCGAUGCGGGAGCGGCGCUGGAGUCCGCGGCAGAGAAGCUGCGGCGGAUGGGCGACGACGAGAGCAGCCACGCCGGCGGCGGAGACGCGGACGCCCUGCUGUAAUUCCGGCGGUGGCUGUAGGUGCUGCUGCUGCAGCAGGCGGCGGCGAGGAGCUGAGGCGGCGGCGUGGGGAAGCUGAAGUCGUCGUCUUGCUCCGCCAUCGCCAUUGCCUAUUCUCUUCUCCCUUCUCUGCUCUGCUCUGUUCUGCUACUGCUGGAUUGCGUCUUGGUGGGGAAGAAGAUGCCAGUAGUGCUUCUGUUACCUAGCUACGUGUUGACUCUCAUCAAAUAAGGAGAGGAAGAUACCUCAAAAAAAAAAGUAGCUGGAGUUUGGUCCAACCGCAAGUAUUUUGAUUGAUGCUUGAUUGGUGGUCAAUCAAGGCAUUCCCUAUUGAUGCUGUAUCAGUAAUUUGUUUCAUGCGUACAAACUUUGAGCUAGAGUUGGCUCCAAGUUUUGCUUCAACGUUUGACCUCUUGAGCUGCACAUAUAUUCAGUUUACUACUCACCCCUUGUUUCCAACACGGCAUAAAAACUCAACUUAGGACAGUUCAUUUGAGCAUCAUCCUGAGAUUGCGAUGCAUACCGGCUGGCAGUGUACAGCUCAAGACUUUCUCUUGGACGAAAACAAGAAGAAUUAGGCACGACGAGUAUGAUGUCAAAAAAAUAAAACAAAAAAAUUAGGCACGAUUCCGGCCCCCGUGAUGUCUGUCAUAGACCACUGAUAUUCCAUGAUUAGGACCGAACCCAUUGUUAAAUUAGUACUAGAAGCUUAGGUUCGACCGUAAGAUUAAGAAGCAGAGUGGACAGACGAAGUUGGUUAAGUUAGGCCAUGUAAACGACGAUAAUUGCAGCGAGCAGGCUGUUCAUUAAUUAAUUAGCACAAAACAGGGUUCAAACGGUCCUUGAUACUUCUAUGUCUGAGGUCAACUGCCGUCUGUGUAGCACUUGACGACGGAUGAGAACAUGCCACUGGCUAAUUAAUUGGCAAACAGAUUGCCAUGACAUACAUUACCUAUCCGUCUAAAAUGUUGCAGCGAUCCAGUAAUUCCGGUGGCUGGUUGCUUCUUGUCUCUAAUUCUUUGUUUUGAUUUGAGAAAACCCAGCCGAAAUGCUGGGCUGGGCUGUAUCCAAAUUCAUGUUAAGGUUUUGGCCCACAAGUCCAUUACCAUCACAAACAAUUAGCUUCUCUGUCCGCUCAAAAAAAAAAAAAGCUUCUCUCGUCCUGUCUCGUGACUGUCCUCGACAUACAUACUUUAUCUUUUGUCUUCUUUGAAAGAAAGAAUGCACAUGUAUACUUAUUUUCAUUCCGUUUGUUGCAAGUAUACAUCGUUCGUCCUAGUAAUGCAUACUGCACGUUCCAGAGAAAUCAGGACACUUGGACCAUUGCUUGAGUAUCAUCACUGUCGGCUUGGUUAAACAUCCCAAUUCCCAAAAUAAAACCAUAACAGAUACAUGUCACCCUCCCCGUGGAUCGCACUAGCAAUGGCUAUGUUUCCAGGAGACAAUCACAGCAGAAAUUGGACCCAGCAAGGCAGCAAGGACGAUAAGAACCUGACACAAUAGAUAAGCGAUUGAUGGGAUGGAAACAAAAUUUAAGCAGCGGUGAGGCCUUUGCACAAAAUUUAAGCAGCAGCCAACCACCAAAGAAAACAUGGAGGAUGUCCGGAUCGUCUCCCGGCGCAUGAUCCGGCCGGAGCCGACGAGCACGCGGCGGCCGCCGGAGCUGGAGCCGGAGACGGUGAUCCACCUGACGCCAUGGGACCUCCAGAUGGUGACCGUGGAGCACAUCCAGAAGGGCAUCCUCCUGCCCAAGCAUCCACAGGGGCACAGCCAUGCCGUCGAACGGCUCGCGUCGUCCUUCGCGCUCGCUCUGGGACGCUUCUACCCCUUUGCCGGCCGGCUCACCGUCGAGGAGCUCCAGCAGGACGGCGGCAUCGCCAUGUCGCUGCGCUGCAGCGGCGAGGGCGCGGAGUUCGUCCACGCCGUGGCGCCCGGCGUCACCGUCGCCGACAUCACCUCGCCGGUGUACGUCCCGCCGGUGGUCUGGUCCUUCUUCCCGCUCGACGGGGUGCUCGGCUUGGACGCCGCCGUGGCCUCCCUACCGGUGCUGGCCGUGCAGGCCACCGAGCUCGACGACGGCGUCUUCCUCGCCAUGUCGCUCAACCACGGCGUCGCCGACGGCACCACCUUCUGGCACUUCUUCAACACCUGGUCCGAGAUCAGCCGCCGGAGCGGCAACCACGACGCCGCCGCCAUCGGCUGCGAGAUCGCCUCGCCGUUGCCGUUGCUCCAAAGGUGGUUCCCUGAAGGCUGCCCCAUCCCCAUCCCUCUGCCCUUCGACAAGCCGGAGGACAUUGUCGGCGACCAGCGUGCCAAGUACCCGUCGGUGCAGGAAUGCUUCUUCCGUUUCUCCGCGGAGAGCGUAAAGGAGCUCAAGGCGAAGGCGAACGCCGAGAUGGCUGGCGCCCCAGCCACCAUCUCCUCGCUACAAGCCCUCUUCGCGCACAUGUGGCGCGCCGUGUGCCGAGCCCGACGCCUCGCGCGAGACCAGGACGUGACGUACAUCAUCCUAGUCGGAUGUCGAGGCCGCUUGGAGAGCAUGCCAUCGGCCUACAUGGGCAAUGCCGUGUCGCUUAUCAUGGCGAGGUCGACUGCCGGCGAGAUCCUGGACAAGGGGCUGGGCUGGGCAGGAUGGCUCCUGAACCGGGCCGUGGCAUCGUUCAACAUGGCGAGCGCAACGGCUGAGACCGCGUCUUGGCCUCGGAACCCUGGCUUCGUGCGUCCUCUGGCGUCCGUGUUAGACGGUCAACCAAAGUUGUCCACGGGGAGCUCGCCACGGUUCGACAUCUACGGAAACGACUUCGGAUGGGGCAGCCCGGUGACCGUGCGGAGCGGCUCGGCGAACAAGGUGGACGGGAAGAUGACGGUGUAUGAGGGCGGCGAGGGUGCCGGUAGCAUGGCGCUGGAGGUGUGCCUUGCUCCGGAGGCGCUCGCCAGGCUCGUCGCCGACCAAGAAUUCAUGGACGUGGUGAGCUCAACCAAGGAGUGAUCAAUGAUCAAUCGAGCUCCUUUUCUUAACCACCGUGCCUAUGUUAAGUCUUAGAUCUGCAUCACUCAUCCUCUAUGAAAUUUAUGUAUUUGCCAAGAACCACUGGAAUGAUGAUAUUUUGCAGUACUAGUGAAGUGUCCAGAUGUUGGUUGCAGCCCACCAUUCAACAGAAAUCAAGCAAUCACAAGAAAGCUUAUCAAACAAUCAUCUGAUCAUGUAAAGCUUAAGGGAUUCAAUUUCACUCAAGAUCACACAAAGGAGUACAUACAACAUUAAUUAAUUGCAGGAUCUUCACCCUCGAGCAGUGAACAAGUAAAAAAACUAUCAUCCCCAACAUGUUUCCAUUCCGUGUAGAAGCUAAUUAAGCAGCGAAGUACCAUCCCCAACCCCUCCAUUAAUCUUACAAGGUACUGAGGUGUAAUCACUGAGAACCUGCUGAUCCUUCCAUCUCAUUUUGCUUUGCUUUGUGUAGACCAACGAUCCAAGACCAGCAGCACUAGUGGAUGAACAAUCGUAGUAGCUAGUUUCUUUAUGUGAUGAUAAAAAGACCGUCUAGACUAGCCGUGGUAGUAUUACAUUACAGACGUAUUACAGGGAGAAUCAAAGAAGAGAAGAUUUCUGGUCAGACCUCGAAGUGCUCCAUCUGCACGUCGGAGGCCUUGAGCGGGACGUAGUCGCCGAGGUAGACCUCGAGGUGGUCGGAGAUGUUGCUCUUGUCGAUGCUCUCAUGGUGGUAGCUCUUGCAGACAAGGUACACCACCGUCUGCACCACCAGUGCGACCAUGACGACGGCGCAGAGCAGGGCCAGCAACGCGAGGCCCAGGAGCAGCCUGGCGCCGGCGCCGAUGCCGUGGCGCGCGCCCUGCACGACCCACGCCCUGAACGCUAGCUCGACGACGAUGAAGACGAGGUUGAGCGUGAAGAAGAUGGCGGAGGCGGUGCGGAGCUUCCCUUUGAUGAGGUCCUUGCUCUUGCGCAUGGCGUGGAAUCCCUUGUAGUCCUCGAGCACGGAGACGACGCUGGCGAGGUGCCAGAUGACGCCGAGGUAGACGAGCCCGGCGACGUAUGCGGCGAGGAUGGGGAAGAAGACGACCGCGGCGAGGCCGGAGCCGUUCUCGGUGGCGACGAGCAGCGCGAGGAAGACGGCGACGGCGGCGAGGUUGUAUACGGCGAGCAGCGCGAAGGCGGCGAGGAAGGUGGCCGCGAGCCGGCGCCAGACCCUGGGCACGACGGAGAGCACCCUGGGGAACGUGAGAGCGUCGUACUUCGCGGAGUAGACGGAGGCGACGGAGAAGACGGCGGCGGCGGUGGAGAGGAGGGAGAGGAGGAGGAGAGCGAGGAGGUAUGCGGACUUGAAGAGGACGAGCGCCGACCAGUCGGCGGCGAGGCGGCGGAGGAUCCGGUCCUGCGAGGCGGUCCCCGGGGAGGAGGAGUCGAGCGCCGUGUCGUCGGAGUCGAUGGUGGUGAAGAGCGCGUGGGAGAUGGCGAUGUGGGCGAGGAAGAGGGCCGAGAGCGGGAGCACGAAGGCGGCGGCGAUGCGGCCGUAGAGCGGGCGGUGCGCGCGCAGGAUGGCCACGGACUCACGCGCGAUCCCCACGGCGCCCAGGAACUGCAGCUCCUCCGGCUCGCACUCCAUGGGUUCCCGCGCCGCCGGUGAGGUGCUGGAGAUCUGGGGUUGAGCUAGGGAUUUGGACGGAGGGUGGGGAGCUCGUGAUUUGGGGAUUUUUUUUUGGUUCGGGGGAUUGGGGAAGAAGGAAGAAAGCUAAAGCUCAGCUAAGCUCGGGUUUGUUUGAUCGGGUCAAAGUCCGACCGGUCGCUUCCAGAAGCCGACCGACGAACCCGAUGACGCGUCUUCCUUUGCUUCCGCGAAAUGGCCGGCGUUGACCGUGGGCCAGGUUUCUGUUACACGGGCCGUCUCAGGGCAUGGAUGGGGGUAUUCCAUGCUCAGUGAAUGUCAUUCGGCCCUUACUGUAUCAGCUAUAAGCUAUAUAGGCCACCUUGGGCUCUGGAAGUUACUUUCUGUGUUUAUUGACUGGGGGCUAUCAGCCCAAACCAGAAUAAAUCAAAGCCUACUACUACUACUACUACUAGGCAAUUACAUGGGCCAAACGGAACUACUUUCUAUGCCAAUGUAACAACCUUGUCGUGCUUCUAAAAGAAAAACUUCUUGUACUACCUAAAACCGAAAUGUAAGGUUAAUGUUAUACGAGUCAUUUUAUUGUCGGCUCAAUGGUGAAGACUUGCUAAAGAGUCACAGUGUCAAAAAAAUAAAAUGACAUAUCAAUUCGCUUGUGGAUCGGAGUGGCAUGUUUGUUUCACUUGAGUCCAAAAAAACUCAGCAAGGAUUUCAAAGGUAGUAGUUCGGCCGUCCAAAAAAAAUAAGAAAAAUCCUAUGACUUAAAAAAGUUCAAAAAUAUAAAAACUGGUAGGAUUGAGAUCAGGCGACGUACGAUUUAUACGUUACAUCACCGGAGCCACUUCCAAACCACUACUCGGCCACCUAAAAAUCCAUAUUUCAUAAGACAAAAAUCUUACCAGCAAAGCUAACUUUUAAAUUAACAGGGGGAAGACGGUGACCUGCCCACUAUGGCAGUGUGCCAUUGUGCUUCUACACAUCGAUGAAUGGACACGAACACGACGCACGUCCACGUCAUCACUCAUCUACUCAUUAAUCAGUUUAAAAUUGAAUUCGCAAGUUUAACUCACAGAUUUCAAAUUCAAAAUUGAAUUUGCAAAUUUAACUCACAGAUUUCAAAUUGAAACCCAGAGACUAUAGUACUACUACUCUAGAGCUCACGUGGGCGAGAAGAAGAAGAGGAGAGCCCCCCCCCCCCCCCCCCGCGCCCGCGCCGGAAGGAAACCUAUAAAAAAAUCGCGUCUUUUUCUUCCGCCUCGAUCGGCAUCUCCUCCCUCCGCCGCGCGCGUGACGCGAGGAGAGGAUCCAUUAAUUCAGCCGGACAGCCAUGGCGCACGCCGCCCCCGUGUGCGCGCGGCUGCCCCCAUGGCGCGUCCUCCUCCUCCUCCUCGCCCUGCUCGCCUUCUCCUGCUUCGCCCUCACGCGCUUCCCCGCCGCCGGGGCCCCGCUCGCCGCCCUCAUCGCCGCCUCUUCUCCGGCCGCCGGCGGAAGCGGCAGGGAGAGCUGCGCCGGGUUCUACCGCGGCGAGGGCGCGGGCGGGAGGCGAGCGGCGUCGGCGUCGGUGGAGGAGUUCGGGGCCGUGGGCGACGGGGUCACGUCCAACACGGCGGCGUUCCGGCGCGCCGUGGCGGCGCUCGAGCAGAGGGCCGCCGCGGCCGGCGGUGGGGCUAUGCUGGAGGUGCCUCCUGGGAGGUGGCUAACCGGCAGCUUCAACCUCACCAGCCGCUUCACGCUCUUCCUGCACCACGGCGCCGUCAUCCUCGGCUCCCAGGUACGUACAUGAUCCAUCGUCGAUCGUCCGCCAAUUCCUUUUCCUCUUCUUGUUCUGUUCCAUUUGAUUAAUUCCAAUCUACUUUUCUGCUGAUAUGGGAAAUUAUUGUUGAUUAGUUGGUGGGUGCGGACAAUUUUAUUUCACAACAAAAAAAUUGCACAAAGCUAAUUAAGCUUUCCUGUAGUGGAGAAAUUGGAGUUUCCGGUAUAUGUUCUUGUUUGGUUGGUUGGACGCUGAGAAAAUGUGCACAUAGCUGAGCUUUCCUGUAGUGCUGAAAGUUGGAAUUUUCUGUCCACGUUCUUGUUUGAUUGGACGCUGGCUCCGACGUUUGUGCUGUCACUUGACAGUGGCAAUUGAAAAAAAAGGAAAGUGGGAAGAGAUGCUGUGGUGGGUUUGGAAUCCUGCACACAUGCUUGGAUGGUUGUUGGUUUCUUCUUCCUUUUCUGACUUCUGCAGCUUGCCACAUGUUAUUGUUCGUUCUAACUAACUAAAUCACACUGUGUCAGAGCCUUUGCUUUGUCCUUACUUUUGCUUGGACUGGCCUGACUUGAUUCUACUACUAUACUGUACUUUGCUUGUAGUGCUGUCUCCUCUGCUCAUAUGCAGCUAGUUCUAAAAGGUUACAUAAACCUCUAAUUGUUUGGAGGUUUCUGCAGAAGCUAGUAAUACUAAUACCCACUUCUGGUGCAUGCAAAUGCAGUGGUCAAUUGGUCAUACUAAUAAUUUGAAGGAUUGCUACUAUGUGUGGAGAGUUUAUGGGAGAUGAAUUUGCUAAAAGGAAUCCCUCAUACAUAUAUAUUGUGGAUACUGUCUACUAGUACUUUUAUGUGAGGGGCGGCUUAGUACAAAGUUGCUGGGAAAGAAACCAUAAUUAAGAGCGUUAGCUAGGAGUUUGACAUUGUUGCCACAUGCACUUGCAAUGCAAUAAUCCACCGCCUUAUUAUUCUAGGACAAUCAUGGAGCUAGUCUUCAAGUCCAACAUGUUAACAGGGUGGAUAAUCUUCAAGGGGACCUAUCACCAGAUACGUUACCUAUCUUCAAGGGUGCAUCAAUCCCCAGAUUCGAGAUUUAAUAAUAUUCGUGUACUCGAAUUUAAGUAGAAGAAUCUCCAGUGUUGCAUAUGUUACUAUGCAGUACUUGUACAGGAUGAUUUAUGAACUGCAGAGUGUGUUUUUUACCGAAAAACUGCAGAGUGUUGACUGUGCUAUUGGACUGUGACUGUGAUGUGCAGGAUCCAGAAGAAUGGCCUCUCAUAGCGCCAUUGCCGUCCUACGGGCGCGGGAGGGAAAGAUUAGGGCCACGGCACAUUAGCCUAAUCCAUGGUGAAAACCUAGACGACGUUGUUAUCACAGGUACACAAACUGUUUUUAACAGUCUCCACUUUCAAGUUUUGGUCAGUAAAAUAAAAAAAAUAUUGCAUGCAAAUCAGAGAGCCAGUCGGUGGAUCAAUUUAAGCAUAAAUUCCAGUUUGACUGUACUUUUGAAUUGCUUGGCUUUGCGUGUCAGGUAGCAAUGGGACCAUAGAUGGCCAAGGCAGGAUGUGGUGGGAGCUAUGGUGGAACCGGACUUUGAACCACACCAGAGGUCAUCUUAUCGAGCUCGUGAACUCGACAAAUGUCAUGAUCUCCAAUGUCACUCUACGCAAUUCCCCGUUUUGGACGGUGCAUCCGGUCUACUGCAGGUAUCAGUUUUAUCAUGCUGAUACAUUGGGUUUAUACCACUUUUUUUUUUACCAAAUUGGAUUUAUACCACUUCAUUUCCUUGUAGAGAGCCAUUUUGAUUUAUUUUUUCUUAGUUGAAAACGAAUAUUUGGUGAUCACAGAAACGUGGUGAUAAAGGAUUUGACAAUACUAGCUCCCCUGAAUGCUCCCAACACCGAUGGCAUUGAUCCAGGUUUGUGCUCUUCAAUUGACAGCACUCUUCUCUCUCAGAUAUGCAAUUAAUUAACACUCCUGGAAAAAAAAUCUAGUUCUAAACAUGGCCCAUCACUGAUUUUCGUACUGCUUAAGAUGAUAUAAACAGUAGUCCUACAUGUUUUCCUUCCAAAGUACAAAAUUACAAUUUACAGUGGCUAUCUCUGUUCUUCAUACCUUACUACCCUCGUCCUAGAUGAUGAAUGAUGAUGACCCUUUUAUACUAAUUAACCACAGGCUGGCUUAAUUUUGCAAAGAUCUCAAACUAGUUUCUCUUGAUGAAACAAUUACAUGGCAGACUCAAGUUCAGACGUUUGCAUCGAGGACUGCUACAUCGAAAGCGGAGACGACCUGGUCGCCAUCAAGAGCGGGUGGGACCAGUACGGGAUAUCUGUGAACAAGCCCAGCACCAACAUCAUCAUCCAGCGUGUCUCCGGCACGACUCCGACGUGCUCAGGCGUCGGCAUCGGCAGCGAGAUGUCCGGCGGGGUAUCCGGGGUGCUCAUCCGGGACCUCCACGUGUGGAACUCGGCGUCGGCGGUCAGGAUCAAGACCGACGUCGGGCGCGGCGGGUUCGUCACCAAUGUCACCGUAGCCAACGUGACCAUGGAGAGAGUCAAGGUGCCGAUCAGGUUCAGCCGGGGCUCCGACGACCACUCUGAUGACAAGUAUGACAGAACGGCAUUGCCGACGAUCAGCGAUGUUCGGAUCGUCGACAUUGUUGGAGUCGACGUGCAGCGGGCCCCAAUUCUUGAGGCGGUGCAUGGUGCAGUUUACGAGGGAAUCUGCUUCAGGAAUGUGAGCCUGAGGCUGAGAGAAGAGGUCAGGAGGAGGCAUGCUGGGUGGCAGUGUGAGUCUGUGUAUGGGGAGGCUCAUGGGGUUUUCCCUGAGGCUUGUGAAGAGCUGAGGCACAAUGGAUCUUCUUCUUGGUGUGGCCUUUCAUGAGAGCUAUUGUACAUAACUUGUAGGGUUUUUCUUAUGAGCUGAGAUCGAGACGUGGGGUGCAUGUCUGUAUUUGUGCUAGAGAAGGAUAAGGGAUAGAGUUUACAGUGAGACUAAACAUUAGACAUGUCUUAUGGAGUGUAUGUAUUUUUGUGCCUAAAGAAAGAUAAUGGGGUAGAAUUUACAGUCCAGUCUCAACAUUUAGACAUGUAUUCUUCUGAGGGGUUUUCAGUCAUGCAGAGUAAAAGGAAAACGCUUCGCCUUUAUCUUUCCAACAAUGGAAAACCUGGUAGUCUAACCAUGCUGCUACAUUCCCUUUUUAUUUAAAGUUGUAUUAGUUUUAACCGAUGAAGGCAAUAUAGAUUUUCCGGAUCCAGAGAAACUUGAGGUCAAUGUUAUUUGACUUCUUCAUAUAGAAUUUUCCUUUUUAUUUCAAGUUUUAUUAUCUUUAGCGAUAAAGGCAAUCUGAAUUUUCCAGAUCGAAAAAUCAGCUUCUUCAUGUAGAAUACUCACCGUAUUUAUUACUAUAUUGCUUCAGGAGUAGCUAAAUUUAUUUCCCUAGAUGUCUUUAAUCAGGUUUAUAUGAGUGAUUUCUUAUCGUCUUCCCAGGCAGUUCCACCCAAAGGAAACAUUUCUCUACGGUUACAAGGUUUUCAUUUCAACGCCAUACACACGGUUUAACAGAGAACUACACGCAGAGGUUUCUCCUAUAGGGUCUCUAGCAUAAGCACCCACCCGUAUAAACAUGCUAAAAAGACCGAGGGAAAAACUAAACUACUUCAUUUCACAAUAUAGCUUACAUACGGUUUUCUCUUUCGGGAACCCCCGAAGGGUUCACAUAAAGAUAAAGAAAUUACCUUACUACUUUCCCAGUCUUAUGUUACAAAUGCCUUAAUUACACAAGCUUUAUUACAGUGGGAAGUGGUACUACUACUAGAGAACAGAUAGUUUUCUGGCUAGCUGCCCUGAACUACUUGCUGCUCUGAAGGCUUGUGUUGUGCUCGAUGAUUGUGUGUCCUCCAAUGCUGCAAAGAGCCUCCUUAUAUAGGCACCAUGGCUGGCUCAAAUAGUGCUCCCAUGCAUUAUUUACCUCACCUUUUUCCAUGUCCAUGAUGCACCUUCUUUAUAGCCUUUGGAUGCAUGCAUGCAUGGUGAUGAGGGUCUUUUGGCUGCCACUUCACUCUUUGGUUGCAUACGAACUCUCUCUCUCUAUAUAUUUAUAUAUAUGCAUAUCACUAUAUAUCUGUGAUUUGUGCACUUUUGGGGUCCCAUAUGCCUCAUCUGAUCUGCUACAGGAUGACCUUACCUUCGCGAGGAGAAAGUGAAUUAGCUAAAAAGUAAUGCGCUGCUCUUGAGAUCUAAAGUAAUUAGUGAAAAGUAUUCAAGUUGUUAAAGGAUCAUAGAGUGUGUGGUUUUCAUUCCUCUCCCAUGGGUUAAGAACUCUUUUCUUAUUCAUUGCUCUCUCAUCAAUGGUCCCACGUACAACUACACUGAUCAACCUACUGACAAAAGAUCCGUAAACGAAUUAACAUCAGCUAGGAAUAGCGGUCAAUUUGAAAGAGUAAAUGCACAUGUACCCUGCAGCGAGCUAGAAAGCCAUCUCACCAGAGCAGAACUGGUUCCCGGAUGGGUCGAUUGGUAAGUACUUUUUCAAGAACGAGGUCUUCACCCAGAUAUUGCCACAUAAGAAGACUUCUCCGCCUGUAUCAGAUUGUGCAGGAGAGUAAUGACGGUGGAUUUGAGGAACCACGACGAGCGGCAGCCCCGCUGCCGCCGUUUCCUUCCUUGGUGGUCACCUUUGCUUGCACGUUCAUGUAAAUCUGCAAAAACAGCCACCAAAUUCCCCAAUUCGAACCAAACUGUAAGACAAUGACAUAUUCUUUCCUUCCACAAUACCACACAGGAAUUCAGAGAAUCGCCAACCUGGAGGAACGAUUCCAACUCAAUCUCGCCGCCAUGGAAAUCCGAGAGAACGGGGACAGUGCGCCAUGCUGGACGAGAGGAGGCCACGUGCCGUUGCCUCGCGACGGUGGAGAUCCAUGGCGCCGCGCGUCGGGGGUCCAGCGUGCUGCUUGCUCCCGCGCCGUCGUUGGCGGACCCGCUGCUCCCGUGCCGUUGGAGGAAGGAGAGGGGGUGCGGAAGAAGAGAGGAGGAAGGAGAGGGGGCACGUGCGCCCGGCUCGAUCUGUCCGGAGGACUCGGCGCCGACGAAGGGAGGAAGGAGAUGGGGCGCGGAGGAAGAGAGGAGGAAGGAUAGGGGUGUGAGGAGGAAGGAGACGUUUGCACGCGGCGACGAUGGGAGUGACGACGCGAAGUUGGUUGGUUGUGACGGCUGGGCGGAGCCGCGGAGGGGAGAGGAGGAGGCGGGGUUUUUAUUGCGUACGGUGUCAAGGCAAAGCGGAGGGCGUUUUUUUUUCUCGGGUGGGGGCGGACCACAGACGCGGAGGCAGGUUUGACAGGAGACGAAAACGUGUAUGAAACGAACGGUCCGUAUUUUUUAAUAGUUAUUAUAGGUAUAGAUUUUACUCCCUCCGUCGGAGUACCGGGCAAACAGAAAACCUAGCACAGCCAGCACGUUCCAUUUUGGCCUUAUAUCGUAUCAGACACAAACUCUGGGCCUUAUACUGGCCCAAAAUCCGGCAACGGCCCAAACAAACAAAGGGCGGUCCAGGAGAAGAAGACGAGGCGAGCACGAACAAACGCUGCGACCUCUUCUCCCACCCCAAACGAGCAGAGAUGGCGGCGGCGGUCGGCGGCGCGGGCAAUGGAGCCGGCGAGGAGGCCGGCGGCGCGGAGUUCUACCUGCGCUACUACGUGGGGCACAAGGGCAAGUUCGGGCACGAGUUCCUCGAGUUCGAGUUCCGCCCCGACGGCAAGCUCCGCUACGCCAACAACUCCAACUACAAGAACGACACCAUGAUCCGCAAGGAGGUCUUCGUCUCCCCCUCCGUCCUCCGCGAGGCCAGGAGGAUCAUACAGGACUCUGAGGUCUUCAAUUCCUCUUCUUCCCAUAAUUAUUUUAUCUGUUGCGAGCGGAAACCUAGGGUUAGGGUUGGGUGCUGAAUCCUCUGCUUGGAUUGGUUUUGCCUGCAGAUCAUGAGGGAGGACGACAACAACUGGCCGGAGCCCGACCGGGUGGGCAGGCAGGAGCUCGAGAUUGUCAUGGGCAACGAGCACAUCUCCUUCACCACCUCCAAGAUCGGCUCCCUUGUUGACGUCCAGACCAGCAAGGACCCCGAGGGCCUCCGCAUCUUCUACUACCUCGUCCAGGUAAUUCCAUCCUAAUCCACCAUAUUUAUUCAUUCAUUGCUUGCUUUGUGCAUGGGGUGUGCUAUUACGCGCUAAUUGAUGGGUUGCCCAAAUUAUACAAUUGGAUAGAUAUGCGCUCUGGCUGGUACUUGCUAAACUAAGCAAAGCGCAAUUGCUGUAUGAUAUCAAUGGUAUUGUUUGGUUCAUGUUUGUUCGCCAGGGAGAGGUUCUGCUGGCUCCUUUGUAAGCUUGCUGAUAGAAGCACAUAGCUUAACUGUACAGUGGAAGUACAUUGCUUAAGUGUACAUAGCUCAUAUUUUUGACAUACUUCCUGCAGUUAUAAUAUCGCUUCUAUUCCAAGGGUAUUAAUUAAAAUUUGAUACAAACUCGGAAGCCCGUUUAUGGAUUCACCAUCAAUUUGUACUGCUGCUGAACAGCCCUUGUGCUGAACUCAUGCAUGGUAUACUGAGAUAUAUACUUAAUAAUCAAGAUAUAAUUGGCUUCGAGAACAUUGUGAUAAGUUUAUCUGUUUUAUUUUUCAUAGUAAUAUGUUAUGUGUAAGCUCUGGGUGGAGUGUAGCCAUGUCUUCAUUGGCGUUAUAUCUAAUUCAAGGUCAUUGAUUUUGAGAUAAAUGACUAGUCAAUUUUGAGCUUAGUUGUCAAAUUGUCUUCUUUUUAUUCAUAUUUUGCACCAUCAUGUCAGUUGCCAAAAGGGGGAAUCAAUUUCUUAUUAGCUUCUGAGCACCAGUUAUUAUAAGAAACUAGCGUGCCUGCUAUCUAAAGGAAGCAGAGCCACAAUCUACCUUUUGGUGUGUAGUGUCAACAAGCCAACAAGCUGAAAACUUAAGACACAAAAUGUCAGAAAAUACAACCUUAGAAUUUGUCAGUUUGACAUCUGUCAACAUCCUUUCUAUUCCUGAGUAUAUCCUCGGCUCUGGAUUGGCCAGUAAGCACCUGUAGGGAAGAUGUAAUAAAAGAAAUGAUAGAGGCUCAAAGAAAAGAAGUAGCGGACAAGAAAGGAAACAAGAGGAACUAUUCCCCAAAUUAGCAGGAUAUUUCUCGGCAGCCAUACAACUGAGCAGUCUGUAAUACUUUCAGAUAAGGUUUCAGCUUUGGAUGGCCAUAUACUUUUGUAUGCUGUAACACUAAGAGUUGUCAGGACUCUUACUGGAUGGCCUUAUACUUUUUUUUGUCUAAAUUAGCAUUUAGCACCUAAGGAAUACCAGGUCGAGUCAGAGACAACACACUGAUUAUAAUAUCCACCCCCUAUGUUGCACUGUAUAAAUAGCAAAAAAAAUGCUGUCUUGUUUCUAUGCAUGUGAUUUUAAAUUUUUGCAAGUAGAAGAACUGGAUCAGCACACUUUGCUUAAAAUUAAAAGCCCAGCUGUUUUGCCAAACAUAAGUGGUACAAUUUAGCUUUUAUGGUUGUCUGGUGACUUUGUUAAUUAGCAUCAGCACAUUCUGAAUUUAUUUCCCAUCAUCUCUACCUUGAAUCUUGCGAACUAUAUGCACGCAGUGUGGAAGGCAGAUUAAGAUGUUGUAAUAACACCAAGAGCCCUCUUAAAACCACCAAUUUCUUAGUAUUCCUAUUACCUAACAUGACAGACUAUUCCAGAUGUCAUCAGAAAUUUACUAUGUUGCUGUUCAUUAGUAUAAUAGAUGGAUGGAUCAGGGUUCAUUAGAAAUUCUGCAAGUUUUUGUCCUAAAGUUGACACCCUAUGAUAGGCUUAAUUGAGUUUAUGAUUGUCUAAAUGUUAUCUGUUUCUUGCAUGUUUCAUUACUAUUUUGGGGAUACUGUUGUUGUUUAGUAAAGAACCACUAGGUGUUGUUGUGUCUCACUGUCUCACUCUCAAGUUGACAGUAAGAUAUCAGCUGUAAAAAACAAGGAACCUUUAAGGGCACGUAAGUGGGAAAGUCUAACAUAGUAAGGCCUCUAUUUUGCCCCACUUCUAACGGCACUGAUUAUUUGUCUCUUCUACUUAAAGAAUUUGACCAAGAUAAUCUACCAUAGAUUUGUCAUUCAUCCUCAGUCUGCUGCUGCAUUUGCUUAGUGGACAAAUAAUGACAUGGACGUCUAAUGAUCUUCGUUUUGCCUCAGUUCUGACGGCAUUGUUUAUUUGAUUCUUGUGCUUAAAGAAUUUGACCAAACUCAUCUACCAUAGAUUUGUUAUUUCAUCCUCGGUCCUCUGUUAGGUUUGCUUAGUGGAUAAAUGCGAUGGACUACCAUUAAUAAACUCUUGACUACAUUUAAAAGAACUGUUAGUGGCAUGCACAUUCUAGUUAAAGUUUAAAGUGGGUGCACAAAAGCACGUGAUAAGCUGCUUGUGUUAACCCCACACCAAGAUUAUUGACUAAUUGAUUUAAUCUCUUCUCAGGAUAACUAGUAUUUUUUGUUAAGCACAGUACUGUGGAGUUGUAACUGGAAACUAUUCCUAACCUGUAUUAAUGUUUUUGUUUGCAGGACCUGAAGUGUUUUGUGUUUUCACUUAUCAACCUCCACUUUAAGAUCAAGCCUAUUCAAUCCUGAGCUUCUUUCUGUCUCCCAAUUGUGUUAUGGUACUGUUGAGUGUUAGAGAAUUCUGUAUUAUGUAACUUGCAACGAGUCGCUAGUGAUGCAGUUUGGGAUGUGUGUAGAACACCGGGGUGAUAUCUUGGCAUCACCAAAAGUUGUUGGAUUGUGCAAACUGCGAGUGCCCGUUACUCUAGUAGUGAUAUUUAUGAAUGUUUCUUUCCCACUGUCAUGUUCUUUUUAAAAAUAUCAGUGCAGCAUUACUUCCUACCACCUUUCUGGUUCAUGCUGAGCCUACUGCUGCCUUAUUGACAGUGCCCAUCACUAGUUUAUUGAUCCAUCAAGGCAACAUACAGAUCUCUUUGCCACUUCUGGUGCAAAUCAACAGGCUUCCAACUGUUUGGAGGACUGUACUUCCAAGUUUUUUACUGCUCCAGCAUCAGAGAUAAUCUUUGAUUCUCCACAAAUUCUUUCAUGGUUUGUGCCAGCAAAACUGACUGAUAAAAAGAGGCCACAGCCCACGAGGUACGAAUGGAAGGAACCUUUCGUUUUUUGCAAAGCAGAAUAGUGUGAUUAAAGGCUCCAUCGGUCCUAUGUAGCUAUCUUUAGCCUGUGAUUAAAGGCUCCAUCUUUAGCGUGAUUAGUGGCAUCUCAGAAGCACUGUUUGGUACACCGUACACCCUUCUUUUGGCUUUUGCUACAGCAGAGCUUUGCAUUACAUGGAGAGUUUACUUUCUUUUCAUGUAAAGAGGAUUUAUAGUGCAAAAGGAGUUGAUGUCCUGUGUCAUGCAGAUAUCUUCAUUCCCCUCUUGGAAGCAGUAAAACAUCUCUAGCAGUGGGCAACUUGUUGAAAGGGAAAUGCAAAAUCAUAGUAGUAGCUGGAAAAUUCAAGAGAUGAUUACGAAGCAGGAGGAGAAAUGAAAUAAUGCAAUGAACAGCACAAGGUGAUGGAAACAAACCUGCUUCAGGUGUACCCUGACCCUGUACAGAGGGAAACUAGCUAAUCUGCUUUUCGGUUUUAUCCCCACUAGUAGUCUAGUACUACUCCUAAAUGAUAAGAUCAGGAUGAGCAUGUUACUUCACUCAACACUGUGGCCUUUCCUUUCUUUCAAAAUCCAAAAUGGUCCAGACAGACAAGAUUCAUCAUCUCUGUGGCCCAAACCAAAUUUUAACGAAACAUCUCUUUCAUGUUGGUGCUACAUUGUCUUUUACUCUUUACCAAACGUCUUUACUGCUAGUAAAUUUCUACUUGCCAUUUUUAGCCAAAAGCACUUGGUUUUAUCUGUCAGUGUAUAUUGGCAGUGCAAUUGCCUGAUAACUGGGCAGGGUUUAGGGGAUUUCUUAUAGGACAAAAGAAUAGGUGCAGUUUGAUUUCUCCUAUGAUCCCUAUUUAACUACUGUAGUUAAAUAAACAUCCUGCCUGAUUCGAAAGCAUGAUGAUCAUUAGUUCGAAGGUGAUAUGUUCGGAAGUUUAACAUAUGUUCGAAGAUUUCUCCUAUGAUCCCUACUGCACCUAUACGUUCGAAGGUUUAAUAUAUGAACGCCCAAUCAUCUUCGUCUUCGCCGGUCUUUGCACAUAAGUUUGGCCCAACACUUUAUUAAGGUAUCUUUGGUUACGGUGGGAGCAGAGUAGAUAUGAACUUCAUAUACUGAAACGGAAGUAGCAGUAGUAGUAUCAUCAUCUUUGAGUGAGUGGAUGCAGUAAUAAAACUCCUUGGACUCGCAGUUCAACAAAUAUCAUCUUGAAUAUUACUAGCAGUAUUUAUACUAAGUUACACUGGAUUUGUUUCACAAAGAAAAGAAAAAAAAGUUACACUGGAUUUAAUUAGACAGCUGUAGUAAACGACGUAGCACGUGUCAUUACACGUGCGCUACACUAGUUACGUACAUCUGUAGAUACGUGUAUACAUGAUCGAAUACGUAUUUCGGUAGGUUCCCUGAAUACGUCUUCAAGACGUGAGAAGCAGAGAGCUCUGGUGCAGUAAUUCAGUUGGUGGUGUUGAGGAGGGCGAUGAUAUCGAGCGCGACGGAGCAGAGCUGCCCGAGCGCCGCCUCCCUGGUCGCCAGCUCCGCCGGGAACGUCGCCACCGGCGCCGGCGCCGGAGAAGACGACGACGACUGCCGCCGCUGCGCCCGGAAGAAGAGCGCCCGGCAGACCCUGGGGUACUCGGCGGCGGCGCUGACGUGCACGGCGGCGUAGUCAUAGUCCCGCUCCUCGAUGGACCCCCUCGCCGCCGCCAGCGCGUCCCUCGCCUCGCCGUACUUGCCCGCGCACGUCCGCAUCACCAUGGCCGCCGCCUGGGCAUCUCCCCCGGCGGCGCCGCCCUGCGCGGUUCCCGUGGUGUCGUUGGCGCCGACCCCGAGCGCGGCGGCGGAGGCGGAGGCGUUGGAUGCGGCGGCGGCGACGGCGAUGGCGGAGAGGCCCCGGAGGUCGGCGGUGGCGCUGCUGGGGUCGGCGGCCAGGGCGGACACGCAGAGGGAAGGGUACGUCGUCGAGUUGCAGGUCGCCCGGACUAGAGCUGCCGCCGCGGAUGGCGGCGCCAUGAUUGGGAUUGGGAGCACUGAUGGCGGAGCUGGCGAGAUUGGGGAUGGUCGUGGUGGUGGCGAGUGCUUGGUGGUGUGGCUGCCACCAUGGCUCCCGUGGUGGGAGGCCAUGGUGGUGCUGGGCGCGAGGAGGAAGACGACGACGAGCACGAGCUGGGUGGCGGCGUUCAUGAUCGCCAUUAAUUAAUCUAGUGGAUAAAUAUGGAUUACAGACUAUCAGUUUGCUGCUAGCUGUACGUGAGAUGGCUACUUGGUCUAGUGAGUGAGGACACUGAGGAGAGUGAUGAGCUUAGCUUGAUUAGCGAGCUCGAGCUUGAUGGGUUGUUUGGUGAUGGGAGAAGGGAAGGGAUGCGAUGGGGUUUUAUAGGAGGAGGAGGAGGAGGGGGGAUCAUGGAAGCUUAGCUGAUGGUUCCUUGAGGAGUGUAUAGUGUAGUCUGGGUCUGGUCAAGUCCAUAUAUGCGUAUAUGCACGUGGACUGUGGUUGCAUGCCAAAAUUGACUCCUAAUUAUCUUCUGCCUAAUUUAAUUGCACAAGUGGAGCUAGGCCAGGCAGCAGAAGUCCACGAUGCCAUAUGUGCUUUCGAUCUUUACUUCCUCGUAUGAUUUGCAAAUUGAAACGGCUUAUUUUCGUCACUGUAAAUUUUCGUGUUUUUCUCGUACGUUAUAUGUUUUUUCUCCCUUGCUAUUUUUGGAUCGUGUAGUGCGCGUGACCAUCUUUUAAAACAGGAUUAAUUGCACAAAUAAACGGACAAAGGUGGAGCCGACAUGCAAAAAAAAAUAUGAGUUGCCAGAGAUAAACGCGUACGUAGUCACAUCAGAGUUUGGAUUAUCGUUCAGGUGGUGGGUAUACUAUGUGGCAUUCGCGAUCGAGGUCACUAUUCAUGGCUUUAUCGACAAUUUAAAAUCGGAGGGAGAGUAUUAUAUAUAAUUACUUUGUCCUCGCCAACCUCCAAUGUUGCUCUUUGCCCCUAGCUGCUAUAGCAAAAUCCUGACUCCUCCUCCCUUGUUCAUAUAUAGCUCUCAUAUAUUUAUGUUGUAUAUGACAUGUGUGCAUUCGUCGUCGCUAGUGUAAGUGCACGUGUCAAUCUAUUGUACUCGACUACUCGGUGCUUGACCAAUGAUAACUCUGUUAAUAUGUGUUUUUACAUACAUGAAAUUUAUAUCGAUAGAUUCGUUCUUAAAAGUUCUUUCUAAUAAUCAUGAUUUUAUAUCAUAUACGUUACAUAUUAAUAGAGUAAUUUUUUAUCAAAGUCUUGUCUUAACGAAACAAAAUACGCCAAACUUUGUGAAAAAGAGGGAGUAAAUAAAUGGAAGUGCUUUAAAAACACACGAAUUAGUUGGUUGAAUUCGUCUCCGUGUUUCUCGUGUGGAUCGAACGCACACCCUCCUAGCUUAGCUACUAAUCUUAGCUUGGGUAGCACGUUAUAGGAAUUAAUUAACAAUGUCAGUGCGCUAUAUACACUCCAUGACGUAUAUUCAGUUUCAAGUUUUGGUAUACACAUUCAUGAAUAUCUGAUACGAGUGCGUGUGUGGUAGCAAAUUAAUCAAGCUAGCUCAGUGGGCUGAGAACUACUUUUGUUAAUUAGCUAAACGUGUUGACGACGGGUCGACAUUGCAUAGUGACUUGGUGAGUCAUGGGGCCAAGUAGGACGUGUUUGACUAUUGCAGUACUGCUGCUGUGCGCAUAUACGACGAGAAAUUACUAGGAACAAGAAGAAGGAAGUUGGCAGAAUCCGGCAGGGUUCCUCUAACUGCGACAAGGCCGGAGUGUCUAUCAUAUCAAGCUGGCCGUGUCAAUAGUCAAGGAGCUAUAUGAGUAGACAGUACACGCAAUGCACGUUCCACAUGAAAUAUCUCAUAUUUCCCCCUCUCUCUCGAACCUGCAUGCAUUCUGCUAUUGUCAGUGUUUAAAGUUUCGGAUCGAUGACUGCUUGCUGCUCCCUCCGAUUCUAAAUUGUUGUCGAAAUAUUUCAUGUAUGUAGACUUUUUUAAAAAUAGAUAUACAUCCAUAUUUUAGCAAAUUUGAAUCAGAAGUUAAUUAAGCUAGGCUUGCAGUUAACUAACUCAACUAGCUAAAAUCGACACGUACUCUACGCGUACACACACUUGUAAGAUUCUAGAGUAGAUGGUUAAUUAGAUUCACGUUCCAGUACGUUCGAUCGAGUACACGUUGAGUAUCUAGCUACUUUUGGACAGCCGCCGCUACUCGAUUUCGGUUCAUAAUCCACGGUGUACGUGCUGACAUAUACUGAUCGGGAAUUCUCCGUACGUAUCUGGUGGCUUCUGGACACAUUAGCCGCUCUACCUACCCACUUAUGUACUCUCUCCAUUCUAAAAUGUAAAAAGCAAAUAUUUUCUGUUAACUGUGAAAUUUUCUAAAGUUUGAUCAAUCUUUUGAUUAACAAAACAUAUGUAAGACGCAGAUGAUUAAAUUCAUUGUGAAAUAUAUUAUCAUAAUAUCUUAGUUUGAUACUGUAUACUUUGAUAGUACUAUUUUCAUAGUAUAUCAGUCUUACUUAUCGAAACUUGCGUGCAGCUAGCAGGUUGAUUAGAGGUGGCAUCCUUUCUCUCUCUCUGGAAAUGCAAGUUUGUACGUAUAUAAUGACUAAAGUACUAAAGUAUACAGAUACUUCAGGUAUUUAUCCAUAAAUUUGUCAAACUAAAGUACUACAGAUACAUAGCGAAAUCUGCACUAAUUCCUAGCUAGUAGCUAGGUUAAUUAAUUGCCAUUGCAAAAUUUGAUUUGGAUUUGAUAGUGCUCUCUUCUUUUUUCAGGUGGGCUAUGA
rnacentral:lncRNA from 1 species